rnacentral:lncRNA from 1 species
CAAAAUGAACUAUCUAGUUGCUGCUGAGAAAGGCCUCAAUACCAUCUAUUUAUAGCCUCGGGCAGCUUUUGUCCGUUGUACUUUCGGGCGCCCUAAACCUGUUUCCGGGCGCCCAGAAGUUGUGCACGCCAGUUGCUUGUCAGACCACGUGCGCCGCUUUUCUUGACUUCGUAACUUUGGGCCGUCAAAAGUUAUGGGCGCCCAGAUCACGAGGGACAGCUUUUCUGACACGCGCUGCUUCCUCUGGAUUUGGGCCGUCAGAAAUUGUGGGCGCCCAGAUCUCGAGGGACAGCUUUUUCUGACAGCCGGAUAUUUCUGGAUUCGGAAUCAUUUUGGGCUUCCAGAAAAUAUGGGUGCCCAGAUUUUCAACACGCGCGCCGCCUGCGUCAGAACUUUUUGGGCUGAUACGCAACCUGUCAAGUCAAACACUUUCGGUCGCCCUAAACUGAAAUUCGAGCGACCAGAUCAGGUAAAGAAGUUUCUGGACCACCCAAACAGCAAACAGGCAGGAUCCAAAAAGUCUCAUGAGAUUCGGAUCCACUUUAGGGCGCCCAGAACAGGGUCCAGAAAUCGCAACUUGACAGAACACAGAAUUUGAGUAGUUUUUGAAUAUUUAAAAAAUCCUAUGCAUCUAAUCAUAAGUUAGAAAUUUGUUUAAGUGAUCUAUAAGGUGAUAAGAUGAAUAGUUUAAACUUAGCUCAAAAUUUCUCACUCUAAUCAUAAAGCAUCAAAUUAAGAAUAGAGAGAGUGAGUUUGUCUUUUUGACAAAAGAAGCAGGUAUAGCUUCAAGUGGUGAGGCUCGGUACUAGAAAAUUGCCCAUUUUGAGUNUCCACUAGAUGAUGCUUUUGCGGGCAAGCACCAAGCCUUCACAUCAACUCCUUCUUCUCAAGCUUCAAGACUUUGAUUUUUCUCUCUUUUUACAAGAUUAAAUCUCACUACAAAUUUCACUCAAGCUUAGAGAAAGAAUUGAGAGCUAAGAGUAUUAAGAUCACUGAAGUUUUUAAGCUCAAAUGAACUAUCAAGUUGCUGCAGAGAGAGACCUCAAUACCAUCUAUUUAUAGCCUCGGGCAGCUUUUGUCAGUUGUACUUUCGGGUGCCCUAAACCUGUUUCCGGGAGCCUAGAAGUUGUGCACGCCAGCUGCCUGUCGGACCACGUGCGCCGCUUUUCUUGACUUUGUAUGUUCGGGCCGUCAAAAGUUGUGGGCGCACAGAACACGAGGAACAGCUUUUCUGACACGCGCCGCUUCCUCUGGAUUUGGGCCGUCAGAAAUUGUGGGCGCCCAGAUCUCGAGGGACAACUUUUCUGACAUGCGCCGUUUUUCUCUGGAUUUGAGCCGUCAAAAGUUGUGGGCGCCCAGAAACUCAUACUGACUUUCUUGGCAGACAGCCCAGAUUGUGUGCGCCACUUUUUCUGACCAAGAUCAUUUUUGGGCUUCCAUAAAAUCUGGGCCCCCAAAUUGCGCGCCGCCUUUUGUCAGAACUUUUUAGGCUGAAAUGCAACCUGUCAAGUCAAAUAGCCUAGGUUGCCCUAAUUUGAAGUAAUGGUGCCCAGAUCAGGUAAAGAAGUUUCUGGAUCACCCGAACAGCAAAUAGGCAGGAUCCAAAAAGUCUCAAAAGAUUCGGAUCCACUUCAGGGCGCCCAGAACAGGGUCUAGAAAUUUCAACUUGACAGAACACAGAAUUUGAGCAGUUUUUGAAUAUUUAAAAAUCCUAUUCACCUAAUCACAAGUUAGAAAUUUGUUUAAAUGAUUUAUAAGGUGAUAAAAUGAAUAGUUUAAACUUAGCUCAAAAUUUCUCACUCUAAUCAUAAGGCAAAAUAUUAAUCAAAUUAAGAAUGGAGAGAGUGAGUUUGUCUAUUUGACAAAGGAAGCAAACACAGCUUCCAGUGGUGAAGCUUGGUGCUAGAAUAUUGCCCAUCUUGAAUCCUUUUUGAAUAUAGAGAGAUUUAAAACACAAAACUCAAGAUAAAAGAUUAGUCCAAUAAUCGUAAUUAUUUGUUAUCAUUAAAAUCUAAUAGAAGAUUAGGGCCACUAGGCCAACACAUAACAUUUUGAAACCAAUAGACCUAUAGGGCUAAUGGCCCUUAUUAAUGCCGAGUCGCGGGGCUACCCUCCGGCUCGACGGAAGCUUGGCACAAGCCGUGCCGUGCUGAGCCUUCGAGCCACGAAUGCUCGGCCUAGCAUGCCCUAGAAAGUCGGCCUGGGUCGGCCUUAUGGGGCCACGGCCCAAACUGGAGUUGUACCGGGCCAGGCAGCCCACGUACCGGGCCAAGGUGCCGGCCGGCACGAACGGCCCACGUGCCGCCCGGCCUAUUUUACACCCCUAAAUAGUUUCCAUUUGAGAACCUGAUGCAAGUUGAAUAAAUAAAUUGAAUAUCUUUCUAGAAAAAUUUCAAAACUUCUCAAAGACAUAGUAGUGGUAUUUAUUUGUAGGGCUUUUUUUGCAAAUAGCUCCUUUACAAAAUUUUAUUUUAAAAUUGGCCCUGUCAAAAAUUUAUUUGCAAAAAUGGCCCUGCCCCUGCCACGCAAGCACCACGUCAGCGCCACGCGGGCGGGGCAGGAGUUUAAGUUGAACACGGUGAAUGGUUCACCGUGUCCAAUAUGAUAUUGUAUUGGACACGGUGAAUCAUUCACCGUGUUCAAUACUAAUACAGCCUUAACCAAAAAAUGACUAAGUCCUAGAUAGUUGUAUUGGACAUGGUGAAUCAUUCACCGUGUCCAAUACAAAUAUCCCCACUUAGCCAAAAAUUGGCUAAGCCGAGUUAGUUGUAUUGGGCACGGUGAAUGGUUCACCGUGUCCAAUAUGAUAUUUGUAUUGGACACGGUGAAUCAUUCAUCGUGUUUAACUUAAACUCCUGCCCCGCCCGCGUGGCGCUGACAUGGCGCUUGUAUGGCAGAGGCAGGGCCAUUUUUGCAAAUAAAUUUUUGACAGAGCCAAUUUUAAAAUAAAAUUUUAUCAGGGGGCUAUUUGCAAAUAAAGCCCUUAUUUGUAUCUCAUUUAUCAUGUUUAAUUGCAGUUUAAUAUAUCGUUUAUUUUUUUUUUUCUAUUAUGCCUCUUUUGGACCAAGUAUCUAUAUAAAACUAUCUAUCCUCAUGUCCUUAAAGUUGAUGUGGCCCAACCUCAUUAAUUUGGGGGUGUGGUCCCACCAAUUUUUUUAUUUUUUCAAAUUAAUUAAAAAAAAAUUUUAUCAUUUUUUUUCUAUGGAUAGAUCAUCAUCCCUUUAAUAUGGAGAUGUGGCUCCACUAUCCCUUAAAUUAAGAGUGUGGGUCCCACCAAUUUUUUUAUUAUUUUUUUACAAUUAAUUAGAAGUUGAAAGGUUGGAUAACUUAAUAUAUCUAAGAAUAUAAAAAGUUGAGAAUAUGAAAAGUCAUAUAUUUUAAUAGAAGAAAAUGAAAAGUCAUCUUAGAAUAUGAAAGGUCAAUUUAGAGUCUAUAUAAAGGGUUGUACUCAUACUCAUUUUGGAUAAAUAAGAAAUGAUAUACUAAAUAUUAUUUACUUUGUCUCAAGAAAAUUGACCGCAUCUGUCUGUAACGAUUAACUAUAGUUGAAAGGUUCUUUUUUUAUUUGAAUUUCAUGCUUUAUUUGUUUACUCAGAAUUUUCUACCGUAUAAUAUAAUAUAUUUUAAAUUACGUGGGAUUCGACUAUUUCAAUUGAAGUAAACUUUUUUAGAAUUUCUAUAUGCUUUUAAUAUUUUUUCUUUUAGUAUUUUGUUUACUAUGUUAUAAAUUUUUAUGUUUAUUUUUGUGUACAAAUUUUAAUGUUUCCAUUGUAUAAUGAUUUGAUUUGUUUACAAAUCAUAGUGUCUCAAUUGUAUAAUGAUUUGAUUGUAUUGAAAGUUUUGAUGAAUUUAUUUAUAUUAGGAUUUAGAAUUUUUGAAAUGAUUAAUUAUUACGCAGCCUAAUGCCGUACUUAGCGCAAUCUAAUGGAUAUGUUGAAAUUUGUUUGCUAAAUAUAUUUUCUGUUGUUUCUGAUUAAAUCUACACGCCACUAGCUAUAUAAUAAGACAUGUAUACAAAGUUGUUGGAAAUAGAUAUGUACCUAUCGUGAUGCUUCAGUAUAAAAAAUUGAAAUGUUUUAAAAAGAAAUCUUUAUACUUUUCAAUAUAUUUUAAAACUAUUAAAACUUUUAAAGUAAAUAUGUUUUACUCUCUACAAAAUAACUUAUAGAAAUAUAAAAAUUUAAAAUUUAAAAUUUAAAUUUUAAAAAAUUAUAAUAUAUCUAUCUAUCGCAUCGUGCGGGUCACUACACUAGUGUUUAUGUGUCUUCGUUAUUGUUGUUUUCCCACAAGUCCUUCGACUUUCGCUGAUGGUAUCGCGAAGUAGCUAGUACUAUCCUGGCCGUUGCCUCAUUUUCGUUUAAUUACCAAACAAAAAUUGCAGUUGAUUUUGUUUAUUUUGAGAAGUGUGCUCAUAGUUGUAUUAAGAAUGAUGAGGUUUAUAACUUAGAAGUUACUGUUUUGGUUUACACAUGUUAUGUAAAUCAAUAAUUGCAUAGUUAGCGGCUCACGGCUUUGGGUGGACAGAAGAGGUUCUGUCUAUGUGGCGGGUCUAUCGUGGUCUCGAUAUAGAGGGCUUCCAUUGCUCGAGCCUCAUGAAAGAGCCCGAAGCAUCAAAGACAAAAACGAUCCAUAAAGGCUAGUAAAAUAAGAAAUCCGAUCCGCUUCCUGAAUACAAUGGCUAUCUAAUUUGUAAAUAUCUACCUACCGCCUAAUUUAUCCGGCACCUUAAAAACCAACCAUCAAGUCUUCUACUUAAAUUUUUCAAACAUAAUCAAAAGAUGGUAAAAAAAACUCUUUACCAAUAUGAUAUACGACACAAUUAAUCAGCUUUCAGAUUAAUGAUCAAUUAAAUAAACUUGAAAAUGCAUAAAAUGGUAUCAGAAUUUAAAUACGAUACACAACAUGCUUACCCACGUUUAAACCACCUUUUGCUUUUUUCAUUUCAUCGCCUGCCAAAAAUACCUUCAUCUAAUUAGCUAAACCCUAGUUCAUUAAACUACCUUUUUGCUUUUCUCAUUCCAUCACUUACGGAAAAGGCCUCAUCUAAUUAGCUAAAUCUUAAUAAGGCCCCAUUUGGCCGGGGAACAACCUGGGAACAAGUUUGUUACCAAGUGAGAACAAACUUAAUUAAAAUCUAAAUUUAAUUUUAAUUAUAGUAUUAAAUGAUUAAUUAAUUUAAUUAAUAUAUUUCAAUUAUUAUCUAUUGUUUAAAUAAUUAAGUAAUUAAUUAUAAUUAAGUAGCUAAUUAAAAAUUAAUAAUUUAAUGUGUUUAUCCAUAAACCAAUAUUUAUAUAGAUCAACCAUUAAUAUUUUGACUAAUAUAAUUAAUUUCUUUAUUAAUUAUCUAACUAAAAUAAUUUACUAACUAAUUAAAAAAUUAAAUUAUUUUUUACAGUUAAUUAAUUAAUUAAUAUGUUUUUAUUAUUUUAUACAAUAUUAAUAGCUAAUAAAUUUAUUAAUUUAUUAAAUUAUUUUUAAUUAAUAUUUUGAUGUUAAUUAAUUAGAUAAAAUAUUUUUGAUUUAAAAUUAUAACUCUUAUUCCUCCUUUAUUCAAAUUUAACAAUUCAAACACUAUUUACCUUAUUUACGAGAAUAAUCUAAUUUUUAUUUAAAUACAAAAUUGAUAUAGUUCAUGCUUAUAUCCGAACUAGUAUUUAUUCAUAAAAUAAGCCGUUCUUAUUUAUACUUGAACAGCCUAAGUUCAUUAGUUUAAAGCUCUCUUGUGAAGUAUUGAAGCUAAACACUGAUCACUUCAUUGAAGUAACAAUUUUCUAUCAUCAAAAUAACAAAUAAAUACCUCAAAUCUGAUUCGAAUAAAAUGGGUACAUGAGCAAAAUAAAUAGGCCUGCUGUCUUUCCUCCUGGGCAAUUUGUAACUUGUGGCAGUGCUCUAGAUUUUCUCUUAAUAGAAAUAUUGGAGAUUGUUACUGUGCAACCUGAGAAAGGAAAGUCGGAAAAUGCUUAGAAAAAAGUUAGGAAAGUAUCAAUGAUACCCAACUAGUAGGCAUCUAAAGGGCUGUUUUGUUGCAUGCAUUUCCAACUGCAAUGCAGUUGGAAAUGCAUGCAUUUAUUAAAUCUUGGUUUGGUUUGGUUUAGUGUAGUUAGACUCUGCAGUUGCAUCUGCACGAGAAGACCCAACUGCAGCAGUUGAGCCGAAAUCGGUUCAUCCAUUAAAAAAAUAAAUAAAGUGAUUUUUUUUUUCAUACGCAUGUUUUUUUACUUUUGUUUUUCAAAAAUACCUAUUUAUAAAACCUGCUAGGAUUUUAAUAAUGUUUGUUAGGAUACAAUAAAAUUUUUUAAUACGCUUCUUUUUUUAAUUUUUUUUUCAAGAAUACCUAAUCACGAAAUCUACUAGGAUUUAAUAAUGUAUGAUAAGGUUCAAUAAUUUUUUUUUUUUCAUACGCUGCAUUUUUUUCCAAUUUGCUAGUUCAAUAAUACCUUAAUUUUUUUUUGACUAAAUUUAUAAUGUAUUUGUAUUUAAAAUUCAUUAAAUUCAUAUAUAAUUUUAUAAUAUAUAAAUUAUAUAUAGAUAUAAAAGUUUUAAUCAAUAAUUAAAAGAUCUCAUAAUUAUGCUAUGUUCAGAAGAGGUAAUCUCAUAUUUCUAUCUAAAAAUUGACAAAGUUUACAAAUAGAAAUCUCAACUGCAGCCUACCAAACAAAAGAAAUGUAACUGCAGCAGUAGCAACUGAAUAAAGCCAAACAGACAAGGUAAAAUUAUUACUGUAAUAUUUGUAACUGUAUGUAUUUUCAACUAUUUUUAUAAUAGAAUCCAACCAAACGGUCCCUAACAGUAGUUCGUACCAUGGGGUAGGAAAUUUGUCGUUCAUGAAUCCAAUGAGAAUGAAUAGGAACAUCAAACCUCAGGAACAAGAAUCCGUUAGCCCUUUGUGCCCUCCACACCCGAGUUGCACGGCGGAAAUUCACCAUUUCAAAUAUAAAUUAGAGCAUUCACAAAAUGCUACGACAGCCCUUAUAAAGAAAAUAGUAGAUAAGUGAAAGUAAAAAGAUUCAAAAUCAAUUGACUCAGGAAACUAGAACAUGAACUAAGAAAAGAUAAUAUUGUAGUUGGUGUUACCAAACCCUACAUUACAGUAUGUCAUAUAGCAAUCAAAGUGCCAACAAAAUAUGGCCGAGCAACUCAUUUCUUCUCUUCUUUUAUUGCGAUGUGGAUGCAAAAUAAAAAGUUACUUCACUAGCAUCUUGACAACAGCACGAAUUCAAUUAGAAUAGAGAAAUAUUUGUACAUUCAAAUAUGGGACAUAAAUCUUACAUACAACCCAUCCAAAAGAUUUAUACAAUUCUUUAAGCCUCCGUUUGGUUCGGGAUUAAGAAAAAAUUAGUUAUUCCAGGAAUAGAGUUAAAUUCAGGAUUAAAAUGAGAUUAAAAUUUUUUUGUGUUUGAUUGGGGAUUGGAGUUAGUCUAGAAUAAUAAAAAAUAGUGUUUGGUUGGAAUAGGUGGGAUAAAAAGAUAAUGAUUGAUAAAAAAGAAUAAUGAUUGGUUUGAAUAGGUGGGAUAAGAAAAUAAUGAUUGAUAAAAAAGGAUAAUAAUUGAUUGGAGUAGAUGGAAUAAGAAAGAUAAUGAUUAAUAAAAAUAAUAAAAUUACUAAAAUAACCUCAUUAUAAUCAUUUAAAAUAAAUAUUUUAUUUAUGGUUUUAAAUAUUCUAUGCUUUGCGAGACGUGCGGGGAGGNGGGGUGGGGUUUACUACCCCACCCCUAAAUGCUUGCGUUUGGGGAUUAAAUGGGGGUUAAGGGGUUAUUCCACCCCUUAACCCCCCACGAAACGCAAGCUAAAACUUUUGAGUAUUAAAAAAAUAAAAGUGCUGAUUAGAUUAAUUUGAAAAUUUGGACAUCAUAUGAUGCGAAAUUUACACCCACCAAUAUUUGGGUGUACGGCACAUUAGAAUAUGCUGGCCAAAAGAACUUGGCAGUAGUGAAUAAAAGCUAAGAAGAUGUGGGACUAAUUUGCAGAAAUGAAUAUUACACGCUAGCUAGCGGCUGCAAUUGAAUUUCAAUUUCAAUUUCAAUUUCAAUUUCCUUCUCGGCUGAAUAAUAAAAAAUAAAAAGUAAAUGGGAAAGAAGAUUCAAUUCUUCAAACUAGGUACCUGGCAGAUUCAGCACUGUACUGUACGAAAAUUCAAACAAAAGAAUCGAGAAGAAUCGUCAAAACUCCGUCAGGCACGCACUCUAGCGCGAACCAGCUACUGCACUUGCGCUCACUGCUAAGGUUCUCCGCAGCAGUAACGCCUUGCUCCUCUCUGCAUCAAAAUCAUCCAUUUCAGUAUCAGCAAUACAGCAGCGCUCCUCUGAUCCAUGCUCAGGCUCAUCAUCGCCAGCAUCCGAGAGGGCCGAAUAGUCGUCUCUCAUCAGCAGCACAUUGUGGAGGAUCGCGCACGUGCCGAUGCACGCCGCGGCCACCUUGGGGUUCUCUUCCUCCGCUAGGUGGCUGAGUACGCCCCAGUUCCUGAGGCUGGCGAGCACCCUGCGCACCGGACGACACAGGGACCGGUGCACCGCAUUGAAGCCCUCCUCGUCGGACCCGCGCUCAGCACUGGCAAACGGAACCAUCAGCCACGGAAGCAGAGGGUACGGGCCGUCUCCGACCAAGUACUGGGUUGAGCCCAGAAGGCGCCCGCCCUGUAAAUCUUUGCAGAGAGAAGAGCGCCUUAGAACAGCAAAAUCGGUGCGGUCGCCGCGGAACCCGGCGGCGAUGCUGAGAAUGCGAGCGGAGGCAUCGGCCACGAUCUGGGCGGCGACCGUGCCGGUCGGGGCGUCGAAGCGCGCGCAGGACAAGGCGCCGCAGCAGCCGGGGAGGCCGGGGUGGGGGUGGGGCCCGACGCCGCUGAGGGAGCGGAAGGCGGCGGAGAUGGGGAGGAGGUCGGGAGGGGACGAAGGGAAGGCGAGGUAGAACCGGAAGUUGGUGCAGAGGACUCGGCAGAGGCGCUUAGUGAAGAAGCGGGCGGCGCGCUCCGUGACGCCGAAGCGGCGGGCUAGGUCGGGGUAGGGGGAGCCGGAGGCCAGGCGGGCGAGNCUUCGGCACCGGCGGAGGCACGGGAUCGCGGCAAGGGUGUCGCGUAGCUAGCCGGGAGAGUUUCUUUUGCGCUAGGUGGUCGCUUCUUCUCCAUUUUAUAUUUUGAGAGAGAGCGUGAGGCUUUUGGUUUCCAUGUAUAGAGAGACCACCUGUGUACCUACUUUUAGCACUUGUUAUGGAAUCCCUACUGUACUUACUUUAUGUUUUAUUUGGUGGAUUUACAGUUUUAACUUUAUCCCUUGUUGUAGCAAUUAGACAUUUACUAUGCUCUGAUACUCCUAGAUGUAUUGUAUUAUUGCUUUUAUUAUUGUUGUUUUUUUAGACGCCUUAUAUGUUGUAGACAUAUGGCGGGUCUGGGCACGCGCCGGGCGGGCUUCCGCUGGGUCCCGGGGCGUGACAGUACCGGUACGCGUUGAUGGCUGUACCGGUACAGCCAUCGGCCCUGGCAGCCAGUGUGCCAACCCGAGGCUCGGGUUGGUCUGGUUCGUGGGAUGUGUACCGGUACACAAACCCGUGUACCGGUACGCAGUGCAGUUUGGGCUAUUUCGUGGAGGGGUGUUUUUACAAUUGUUGCAACCUCUUUAAAUAUCACCCCAGCCCCCAUAGCUGCUCUUUUUUAGCCCUAACCAGUGGAGAACAAGGUGAGACUCUUCCCCUUUGAUUUCUUCUCCAUUUUUGGUGGAUUUCGGUUGGUUUUGAUCUCUCAUCUCUUCUCCACCUUGCUUUUUGUUUGUUUCCUCCAUUGUUGAUGACUUGGAGCUUGGAGAGGAGCUUGUUUGAGAGGAGAUCUUCAACUCCACUUGGCUUGGAGCUUGGUUUUACGCAUCUUGUGAGGUUAGUAUACUUAAUCUCCCUUUUGGAUCAAGUUUUGUAGUUUCUACUUGUUGGAAAUCCUAGAUUUUGGAUUUUAGGGUUAGAAAUGGGGAUUUUGGAUUUGUAGCUCCUAGAAUCAAAUUGAUUGGUUUAGAACUUUGAUUUAGGUUGGAUUUGAAGGACUCUAGCUCCCUUUUGGAGAUCGAAAGAGAUUCCUUCGCGUACGGUGAGUUUUCUCCACCUUAGCUUGGAUAACAUAAUGUUUGAGCUUAGCUUUGUUCGUAAGGUUCGUUUAACUCUUGGUUCUACACCUCUAGGGUGCUAGAAGACUAGUGGACACCUUCGUCGGAGCAAACGAAGGAGUUGCGAGACUUUGGUGGGUUUGGCUUCAUUGAAAUGGGAGGAAAUGCCUCCUAUAUGGUUAAAUAUUUUUGUAUACUAUAAAUACAUGCAUAUUCAUGCUAAAUGGAAUUUAUGUGAAUUUUAGAGCGCUUAAAACCCCUCUGUUAAGCAUCAUGAUAAAGAUUGACUCUAUGUUGUAGAGAGAAGCAUAUGCAUUGUUAGUAUGCAUGAGUUUAAUGUUUUAAUGAAUGAUGUAAGAUCAUGUUUCUUGUGUUGAAAAUGAUUAGAAUGACAAGCUUUUAGACUUAUUAUUUAUAUUGGGACAUAGUAAGCAAAAGUGUCAUAAAGGGGCACUUGAACUAGAAAAUCGUUGAACUACAACUUAGAGACAUGAUGAUAGACCACUGGAAAUCUGCUAUAUUCCAUGUUUUAGACAUAAUGACUUAGAGAUAGGCCAUUGAGACAGUUACUAUAUUCCGUGUUUUAGACACAAUGACUUCGAGGCAUGCCUUUGGGACAUGUGCUGUGUUCUGGGUUUUAGAUCCGAUGAAACAGUGAUGAACCAGUGGGACCUGAGACGGACUUAUUCGCUUGCAUGCCAUUGUGCUCAUUCGCACGUACUUGUGAGGGUCGCUCCCUACAAGUCGGCACUCCGGAGAUAGCCAUCGCGACAUAUGCUCGCCCGUGCGGGAUUGGGCGCCAAAAUGGGAUGCCGUGGGAGAGGCUCAUUCCUAGAGGUGGGAUGUUGACUACCACGGGGCCAUUGUUGGCACGACGCAGGCCGGACUACCUACGGGUAGCUUCCACAAGAUUAGGUUACUGGUGACAUAUUGUACCUCUUGGACAUUAACUAGAAUAGUAAACAAUGACAUCUUUACUAUUUACAUUGUGGACAUUGGGUUAGUUGCAUACUUAUGCAUUUACAUGUUGGAUACUCUUGUGCACAUGCUUGUAGUAGUUACUUUCUUACUUAUGCAAAUUCCUGCUAAGUAGAGAUUAUGUGAUAGUUUAUUACUUAUGCAAAUCCAUGCUAAGUAGAGAUCAUGUGGUAGAUUAUUACUGAUGAAAGUAGUGACUUCAUGCUAUAUUGAGCUUCCAUUUCAGCGAGUUAUUUGUUCAUAUUAUUCUUACUUGCCUUACUUACCUUACUUGCUUAGUUUUGGGCCUAGUGGUGCAUUUCACUGAAGUCAGUAAUUGCCCACUGGGAACUAUUAUUUAAUACUUCUCACGCCCUCUGUUUUAUGUUUUUCUUUCAGAGCCCUCUGCACCGGCGGAGGCACAGGACCGCGGCAAGGGGAUCGCUAGCUAGAUAGCGAGGAUUCACUUUUACUCUUAGGUGGUUUUUCCUCUUUUUAUGUUUUGGGUGAGCGAGGGAUUUUGUUUACCAUAUAUAGAGACCACCUAUGUACUCUGUUGGCACUUGUAUUUGGAUCUUGGUUUUACUACUUUAUGGUUUAUUAGUGCUUUUAGCUCUCUACUCUUCACUUUGCUUUAGUCUCUAGAUAAUGUAUAUUGCUCUGAUACUUCUAGAUGUUUUCUUCUAUUGUCUCUUUUAUCGUUUUGUUUUAGACGCCUUAUAUGUUUUAGACGUAUGGUGGGUCUGGACACGCGCCGGGCGGGCUUCCGCUAUGCCCCGGGGCAUGACAAUCUCGCGAGCCAAGAUCUUCACGGGUUGCUCCUCGAAGCUCAAGUCCUCCCGCAACUCUAAAGGUGUAGCAUCCAACACGUGAGUCGUGUCGAAGAUGUACUUGCAAGGACCAAUACAUGAAAGACGUUGUGCACGCCCGAUAGGUUCGGUGGUAGAGCAAGUCGAUACGCUACCGGACCUACACGCUCCAAAACCUCAUACGGUCCAAUGAAACGAGGGCUCAACUUACCCCGCAUUUCGAAUCUCUUGAUCCCUCUAGUCGGCGAGACCUUCAAGAAAACAUGGUCUCCAACUUGGAACUCCAAGUCUCGCUGUCGUCGGUCGGCGUAGCUCCUCUGUCUACUCUGCACUGUUAAAAGUCGCUCCUGAGCAAUUCGAACUUUAUCCUCAGCUUCCUGGAGCACAUCUGGUCCCAAAGCCAAUCUGUCGCCAAUUUCACUCCAAUGAAGUGGCGAUUUACACUUCCGUCCAUAAAGUGCUUCGAACGGUGCCAUCUUGAUGCUUGCUUGAUAACUAUUGUUAUAAGCAAACUCCGCCAUAGGUAGAUGCUGCGACCAUCUUCCCUGGAAGUCUAUCACACAUGCUCGGAGCAUAUCCUCUAAAGUCUGUAUGGUGCGCUCCGACUGCCCAUCACUCUAAGGGUGGAAAGUAGUGCUAAAAUCCAGUCGAGUGCCUGGGGCGACCUGUAGACUCCUCCAAAAGUGAGACACAAACCGGAUGUCUCGAUCUGAUAGAAUCGACGUGGGCACUCCGUGAAGUCGCACAAUCUCAUCAAGGUACACUUGUGCGAGCUUCUCCCCAGUCCAAGUAGUAUGAAUAGGUAUGAAGUGCGCCGACUUCGUCAACCUAUCCACGAUCACCCAAAUAGCAUCAUGCCCGGCCUGAGAGCGAGGCAAUCCAGUCACGAAAUCCAUGGUGAUCUUCUCCCACUUCCACACGGGAAUAGGCAAACUCUGAUGUUUUCCCGCGGGAACUCGAUGCUCGGCCUUUACUUGUUGGCAAGUUAGACAACGAGUUACAAACUCGCCAACAUCCUUUUUCAUCCCGGGCCACUAAUAAAGCAACUUUAAAUUCUUAUACAUCUUGGUGCCUCUUGGAUGUAUAACGUAGGGCUCUCGAUGCACUUCUUGAAGAAUGUCCUCUUUAAUUCCUGAAUCCGCCGGUACACAAAUCCGUCCACAGAAACGCAUCAAUCCUUAGUCAUCCACAAGAAAAUCGCUGGUGCAACUAUCAACCAUUUUACCUUUAAUCUUUUGCAACUCCACAUCGGAAGCUUACUUUUCUUUAAUUCAAUCUAAAAGUGUAGGUUGCACCACCAACGUCAUCAACCUCAAAGGCGUGUCAGGAGUCACCACCUCCAACUCUAACCGCUUCAUCUGCUCGAUCAACUGCGGUUGAGUAACAACAUGCAUCGUUAAGUUUUCCGUUGAUUUCCUACUUAGCGCAUCCGCCACCACGUUAGCCUUGCCCGGGUGGUAUAGAAUCGUCAGGUCGUAAUCCUUGAGCAGCUCCAACCAUCUGCGCUAUCUCAGGUUCAACUCUUUCUGAGUGAAUAAGUACUUCAAACUCUUGUGAUCCGUGUAUACUUCACACCGCUCGUCAUACAAGUAGUGGCGCCAUAAUUUCAAGGCGAAGACUACGGCCGCCAAUUCCAAAUCAUGCGUCGGAUAGUUCUUUUCAUAAUCCUUUAGUUGGCGCGAAACAUACGCGAUCACUUUGCCAUCCUGCAUCAACACACAACCCGAUCUAUUAAGUGAAGCAUCACUAUAAACCACAUACCCUGCUCCAGCCAUCGGCAGGGUUAGGAUCAGGGCGGUCGUCAAUCUUUGCUUCAACUCUUGGAAGCUUCUCUCGCAUGCAUCAUUCCAAAUGAACUUGACUCCUUUUUGCGUGAGUCUCGUGAGGGGAGUAGAUAACUUAGCAAACCCCGCGACAAAUCUACGGUAGUACCCGGCCAAUCCAAGAAAACUCCGAAUCUCCGUGACGCUCGUCGGUCUCGGUCAAUCCCUAAUAGCCUCAAUCUUCUUGGGAUCCACCGCAAUACCUGAUCCCGAAAUCAGAUGCCCAAGGAAAGCUACCUCUCGAAGCCAAAAUUUAUACUUUUUCAGCUUUGCAAAAAGCUCCUUUUCCCGAAGUACUUGAAGUACAAGUCUCAAAUGUUCCUCGUGAUCUGCAUCACUCCGGGAAUAAACCAAAAUGUCGUCGAUGAACACCACGACAAAUCUGUCCAGGUAAGCCUUAAAAAUACGGUUCAUCAGAUCCAUAAAAGCUGCCGGGGCGUUCGUAAGCCCGAACGGCAUCACUGUGAACUCAUAAUGUCCAUACCGUGUUCUAAAAGCCGUCCUCGAUACAUCCUCGGGUUUAAUCUUUAACUGGUGAUAUCCCGUCUGCAAAUCGAUCUUGGAAUACACACACGAUCCCUGAAGCUGAUCAAACAAGCCGUCGAUCCUCGGCAACGGAUACUUGUUGUUGAUUGUGACUUUAUUAAGUUCACGAUAAUCCACACAUAGGCGAAGUGAUCCGUCCUUUUUCAUGACGAACAAAAUUGGCGCUCCCCACGGUGAGACGCUCGGUCGAAUUAAGCCCUUGUCCAACAGAUCCUGUAGCUGUGCCCUCAGCUCCUUCAGCUCCGCCGGUGCCAUCCUAUGGGGUGCCUUCGAGAUUGGGGUAGUCUCAGGGACGAGAUCUACCACAAACUCGAUCUCCCUAUCGGGUGGCAUACCCAGUAGCUCAGCUGGAAACACGUCCUGGAACUCCCGUACCACCGGGAUAUCCUUAAUCCUAGGGGUGUCAUCCUCGCCCCUCAACACAACACUAGCCAAGUAGGCUACACAUCCUCGGCUGAUCAGCUGCCUAGCUCGAGACGAGCUGAUCGACAUCGUAAAAAGCAAACUCCGGCAUCCUCUAAAUAUCACCUCAACUUGCCCCGGUUCUCUAAAAGUAACCGUGCGAUUCUUGCAAUCAAUCGUGGCAUAAUACUUGGUUAACCAAUNAAUAAGUUCAAUUCUAUCUGAUAGUAAGAUAUGAUAUGUUCCUUAUCUAUAUCAUUACCAAAACUCCUUUCGAUGGCUCAAAACUUAUUGUGAUUCUACACUAUUAAAGAAUAAUCAAUCAUCUUUAUUUAUUUGUAUUAGUUCCUACACUUCGCUAGUAACACUUAGUAGUAGUGGCAACCCAGUGCAAAGUGAAUAUCGAACUGAACCUUUAGGUAAUAGUUACCAUACGAUACAAUCCAUCUAUCGCAUAAUUCCGACUAAAUGGACAUCAUGAAAUACUCAUCAAGUCCCAUCACCAUUAAAUGAUAGAUUUGAUAGGACAAAAUCUCUUAUGCUUACCCUUGAAAAUCCCUUUCCGUUCACUAUGUUAGUUUGGCCGAGGUUUUGUCAGCUUUGCCCUACAAAUAGAACAUAACUAAUGAUCUCUCGACCAUAAGCUCACUGUAGCCAACUUAUACAUACUAAGAUCCAUAGCUAGGAUUAGAGUUUGUAGUUGUCACGCCAGAUUCCUCGUUUCCCCGGGCACGCUAACAGACCCGUCGUAUACAAAAGAAUUUUUCCUGUAUACAAAGCGAAGCUGUGCAUGUACCUGUAAUCAUACAAUACUACAACCAGUAGUAUAGACCUGCUAGAAAAGAACAAAACAUAAAUAAAAUCAGAAGUUCACUAUACAUACAUAACAUCUAGGUGUACAAAAUGCUCGCUCCAGCGAGAUACAACAUAAGUAUGUAUAAGAACUCAAAACUACCACUACCUGUAGCUGGUAUACUCUAGAUCAGCAGCAACUAGGAAGGGAUCUAACUCGCGACUCCCUUUCCACGAUCAAAAUCCGCAGUAGCGACAGCCGCAACCGAAGACUCUGCAAAAUAUUUCAACAACUGGAUGUGAGAACUACUGCAAAAAUAAGUAGUCCUCAGUGGGUACCGCCCUCAAACUCAUCGGCUUACCCACCAAGUCUACGGAUGCAUGCUCAAAUGAUAGUAAGGAAACUGAAAAUAAUCUACAACUACAUGCCACUAUACUAUCAUCAUCCGACACUACUAUUGUAACACACUGGACUUUUACAAAUUGUAAGGUUCAAGUGUUUGAUUUGUGUUUUGAGCUUUUCCACACUUUCUGGAGGGUCGUAGACAGUGUUCUGACCUAUGGCUUGCAUCCCGAGAAUGGAGGUUUAAAACUUUGCACCAAAACUUAAAAAGACGAAUUUUUGGUUUACUCUUGGGUUUGCCUCAGCAGAGCUGUGUACCGGUACAGCCUUGAUGGUUGUACCGGAACAGAUUUUGUAUCAGUACACCUUGAUGGUUGUAUCGGUACAAAUGCGAUUUUUCAGCCAACCCGAGCCUCGAGUUUGCGUGUAUAGGGUUUUGUACCUGUACACUUUCCUGUGUACCGGUACUGUAACACACUAGACCUGUGCAAAUUGCGAUGUUCGAGUGUUUGAUUUGAGUUUCGAGCUUUUCCACACCUUGUGGAGGGUCGUAGACGGUGUUCCGACCUGUAGUUCGAAAUUCUAGAUUUUUGGCUAAGUCCUGAGAGUUUUACUCUCGGGGACCGGUCCCUAGUGGGAGAGACCGGUCCCCCGUCGCGUGGUUGCGGCUGUCGGCCGAGGCAACCGGUCCCUCAGCCAGAGAGACUGGUUCCCGAACGUGUGUUUUGAGGGAGGGUUCGAGAGACCGGUCCCAGGUGUGGGGAGACUGGUCCCUCCACCCGAAAAUUGCCCAGACCUGGCAGUGUACAGGUUGCAAUGUUGAGGGGCUUUUCUAGAUUUUGUUACUUUAGAGGGCUUUCAUGGCUUUUCCUCUCCCUCUCUCCCUCAUUUCUCCCCCUCACACUCUCUCUUACACUCCCUAGAAAGAGAAGAAGAAGGAGAAAGAAGGAAGGGAAGAAGGAGGAGAAGAGGAAGGAGAGCUUGCUUGGUGGACUUUGGUCUUCCCCCACGCCCUCUCUUCUCACCAUUGGUGGCUUGGAGCUUGGGCUAGAAGCUUGAUUGAGGAUCAACCUUCAAUCCUAGAGCAUUUUGAGCUUGGUUUGGAGCUACCAAGGAGGUUAGUAUGCUUAAUCUACUCUUUGGAGCAUGUUUUGGUAGGUUUUACCAAAUGAAACCCUAGCUUUGGAUUUUAGGGUUAGAAUUGGGGAUUUUUAAUUUGAGGGCUUUGGAAUCUAAUUGAUUGGUUUAGAACCUUGGUAUAGAUUGCUUUGGAAGGGAUUUGGUUUCUAUUUGGGAUUUCUUAGAGAAUUUCUACGCUAUAGGUGAGUUUUCUCUACCUUAGCUAGAGUUGGUUAAUGUUUGAGCUUUGGGAUGUUCGUAAGGUUCGUUUAACUCUUGUUCCUACAUCUUUAGGGUGCUAGGAGACUAGUGGGCACCUUCAUCAGAGCAAACGAAGGGUCGCAAGAGUUGUUGUGGGUUUGACUUCAUAAAAUCAGGGCGAAAUGGCCCCUAUGUAUUUUAUACUUGUCGUAACAUCAAUUUCAUUGCAUAUUCAUUCUAAAUGGGAUUUAUGUAAAUUUUAUAACACUUAAAAUGCAUGUGUUAUGUGUAAGAUAAAUUUCACUCUAUAUAGUAGAGCAUUCUGGGUAUUAUAUAUGCAUGUGAGAAGUGUUUAUGGUAGCGAAUUGGAAACUUGUCUCGUAUGUUUAAAAUAGCUCAAAUUAUGCAUUUGUGAACAUUUGAUUUAAGCUUGGACUUAGUGAACAAAAAUGCCAUCAAGGGGCACUUGACUUAGUAGGCUAUGAAACUGCUACAUUGAGACAUAAUGAUAAGCCAUUGACAUAUAUUACUUUUCAUGUUUUAGACAUGAUGCCAUAGAGAUAGGCCAUUAAGACAUUCGAUAUGUUAUAUUCCAUGUUUUAGACAUGAUGACUUGAGACUUGAGACGGAUCUCACGCUUGCUUGCCAUUGUGCUCAUUCGCACACGCUUGUGAGGGUCGCUCCCUACAAGCCGGUACUCCAGAGAUGGCCAUCGCGAUACAUAUUCGCCGUGCGGGAUUGGGCGCCGAAGUGGAUUGCCGUGGGCAAGACUCAUUCCUAGAGUGGGGAUGUUGACUAUCACGGGGCCAUUAGGCUCGGCACCGGCGAGACAGCCUACGGGUGGGUCUACAGACCAGACAGCCUUCGGGCGGGUCUUUCAAGAUUUAAUUUUAAGUAGUUAACAUGCCAAGUGAAUAUUGACUAGAAUAAUAAAUAAAGACAUUUUACUAUUACAUUGGGGACAUUACGAUUGUAACAUACCGAAACUUCGGUAAUUAAAUUUGAACCUUAGUCAGAUUAACCAAAGUGCGAGGUUGGUAUACUUCGGAAAAGCCAAAGGCGUCGAAUAAUGCAAAAAUGCAUUACUGGGGAUCUUCGAGAGCUCUGGAAUCAAAAUCUGCAAAACUGCAGGUUUUGUGCACUCGGGGACCGGUCCCUAGUGGGAGAGACCGGUCCCCGAACGCGUAGGCAGCGAGAUGGCCGAAAAAUCGGCUAAGUCCUGAAAACCCAGCUCUCGGGAACCGGUCCUUGCGAGGAGAGACCGGUCCCCAGAGACCGGUUCCAUUGAGGGAGACCGGUUGCAUCGCGCGCAGCCUCCGCAGACCGCGGGAGAAGCUCUCCAGGACCGGUCCCUGGUCGGGGAGACCGGUCCUUCACUGCGAAAAAUGCCCAGUCUGGGCAGUGCACAAGGGAAAUAGUGGGAGGACCUUGUUGUAAUUGUUACAACACCUUAUAUACUCAACCUUUCUUCCUUUCCUCAGCCAUUUUUCACCCUCCUCUCAUUUCCUCUUCUCUCUCUCUCUAGAACUCACCUAGGGCUUGAAGGAGAAGAAGAAGAACUUGGAGAAGGUGGAGUUUAGGGUUUUUGUGGUCCAAGGAGCUGACCUAUAAGAAGGAGCUUGGUGGAGCUUGGGCAAGGUGAGGUUUUGGUUCAUGAGAGUUUAGGGUUUGAAUUUUAACCCAAAGUUGUAGGGUUUUGAGUUUAUUUCUAGCUUUAGAACCCUUGUUGAGCUAAGAAACUAUGAAAUCCAUGGUUUUCUUGUAGAGCUCUCAUGGUGGAUCACUAGGGCUCAAAGUAGAUGCCCUAAGAUUGGUCCAAGAGGCUUGGAAACUUUAUUAGAAUGCUUCUUAGAUGAUUCUAAGCUAUCUUUUGCUUAGGGAAGAGAUUAAUCUAGGAGCUAUUGCUAUAGAGCAUUGUUAGGGCUCAAAUUUGGGGCUUUCGCCCUAGGAUUUUUCGUGGGCGAAUUGAUCUCGUAGAAACCUAAUUGGGGGUGUCUUCGACGCGUUGGACAAUUCUGUUCGACGUUACGAAAAUGUUUAAGUAUAGUUCAUAUACAAAGGGCCUAAUAUGGCACUAUUUUGGCUGUAGGAUGCGGAAUCGGCUUUCGUAAAGUUCGGAAGUCGUCAUAUUCUACACCUACACGACCACGCGAGGUGGGGGGUGCAUUCCGGAAUCGUUGGAUUCCCUUCUAUGUCUAUGUCACUUUUCAUUUGAGCAUAUUGUAUAUAGUCGUUCAUGCAUAUUAGGGUUGCUUACAUGUGAAUUUUGGUGUAACUUUAUUUAUGUGCUUAUAAUGUAGUUGGAUAUAAAGAAUGAUAGAACCAUAAUGGACGUGUAUGCUAGAACCCUAGAGAUGUAUGAAUAGGAGACUUGGAUCUUGAUCUUAGUAAACAAAUGUGACAUUGACUAUAGAGACAAGAUUGGCAUUGAGAUAGUGAUUGUAAACACAGUUUAAUCAAGAGUGGCAUGAAUAAAUAGGUAGAAAACCUAUUAUGAUAGUGGCAUUGUGACUAGUAGCUAUACGUUCCCGAGUUGGGAAUUGGAUCAAUACUCACGAUAAGUCUUGGCUUGAGGGCGGUAGCUCCCCCUCAAGCGGUGCGCUCCGGAGUAGGUCACCACGGGGAUAGUGGCCCCGAAGGACGGUCCCUCGAGUGGAAGUGCUCGAAGCCUCCUCGAUCAAAAGGAAUUUUGGGUUGUGAGUCAUUGGGGUUAACAAAAUUAACCGGUAAGAUUGGGUAAAAGCCAAAGGAAAGUAUCGAACAAGCAUGCAUGCAUAGUUAUUGCUUUCAUAUCUAUAUCCGCUGACAUCUUUCUUGCAGGCAUAGUAUUAGCAUUAGUUUGGCUACUAUUUUCUUUCCGUUGAAAUACUUUUGCCUGAAAUAGACCUAGUGGGUAAGUCGGCGAGGUCGGUUGCCGAACCCACUGGGAAUUUCGUUGUAGUUCUCACACCACUAACCCUACAAGUUCUAGCACGAGCGGGGCAGCGGAGGACCGAAGCAAGGGUUUAGCGCCGUAGAUAGCGGUCACCGGGACCAUUUCACAUUUUGUAGUCAUUUUCCUUUUGGUUUACAUGUAUCAACUUCUUUUGUUGAUUUAGAAAGUUGUAAAGUUGAAAACAAAUAUGUAAUUUGGUGAAUGGCUAAAUGUAAAGAGUUAUGAAUGAAAGAAAAGAAAUGUGAUGGUUCAGUUUACUUUUAUUUGGUUCAAAUAUAAUCAAGUAUUAUAUAUGGUUGAAUAUAUUAGCUUAGAGCUUUCGCUUCCGUUGUUGCUUGCCCUCGUGCAAGCCUUGUAUAAAUGCUAAUCUCAUUGUUUUAUUGUUUUAUUAUGCAUGUUUUAGAGCCUUGGGCGGACAGGGGAGGCUCUGUCCGUUCGGCGUCUGUUGACUUGACCCGAACCCGACCAAAUUGGCGGGAAUUGGGGCGUGACAGAUAUAAUGGUAUCAGAGCGAAGUUGAAAGCAAAAGUUUAGGAAGGACCUAAGAAACCCUAGGAAUUGGAGACCUUAGGAGCUUAGGAAACGUUUAACGUGGAUUUGGCUUAUGCGAAAGCUAAUGAUUGGGUUAAUGAUAAUACUUCUCUAGAAGGAAUUAGAGAUGAAUUCAAGUACUUAGUUGUUUUCUUCUUAAGGGAUCUUGUGGGGCGGCCGACCACAUAACACCGAGAGUUGGAAAUAAUUAUGCUUUGUUGCUUUCGUUUAAUUGGGUAGUUAUUUGGAACAUGCAAGAGUCACAUGUGUCGAGUACUAAUGUGUGUGAUGCGUUUCAGGAAUAAUGUCCCCGAGACGCUACACGCGUAGAGCUGCUUCGGCACUGCCCGAUGAAGUGCCUGAACAAUCGUGAUCCGAUGAAGUGCGCGAGCUGCGAGCCCAAGUAGCGGCUUUGGCCGGGGCCAUGCAGCUACAAGAGGAGCAGAUUGGACAACUCCACGAGAUGAUGGCGCGACAGGCGGCGGCGGCGGCAUCUGUGCCGAGGGAUCUUCCCGCACCUGCUGCUCCUGUAGCACCACCUCCUGCAGUGGCGGCGGCACCGGUGACAGCUAUUCCUCCGACGGCAUCGGGUUCUUCCGCUCCUAUUCCNAAGAAAGCAUAGGGAUGCCAUGCAACUCGGCAAACAGCCGAUCUAUGAAUGAAUGCGAUGCACCGCUAUCAAAUAAUGCACGAACUCUAAUGCCAUCAAGUAAAAUGAUACCUGCGACCACAUCCUCGGCUGCUCCCACCUCCUCGGUCUGAGCGGCAUACAUACGCCCACUCGGGGCCUGUCGAGAACCCUCGCUCUGGCGCUGGAAAGGUGGUCGCCCAGGCUGGUACUGCACCGAUGGAGUCCCCUGGCAGGCGGCUGGUAGAGCCGGUGCCGACGCAGUCGAUGGUGCCGGUAACGAUCUCCUCGGGCACUCAGUCCGGAAGUGGCCCUCCUGGCCACACAAGUAGCACCUGCCUCCCCGCUGUGGACACUGCGGUGGAGUGUGAGGACCACCGCAAAUCACACACUGGGGAGGUCGGCGUCGAUCAGGACCUCCUCGCUGCGCUGCCGGGCAGCGCCCAUGCUGCUGGCUCCUAGGGUGUUUCGGCGGCCUCCUAGAGUGCGUCUGGCUCGUACCCUCCGUCGCAGGCCUCUUGGCCUUACCCCUGUCCAAGCCCUCGCGCCGCUCCUGCAUCUCUGCCGCGCCGCUCUCCACGAUGAGCACGCGAUCCACCACCUCUCGGUAGGUUUAGAGGUUAGAGGAUUGCACGAACCGAAAGAUCGACGGUCGCAACCCUCGCUCGAAGAUGCGGGCCUUGUCCUCGUCGUCCCACACAACGAAAGGCACACAGUGUAGAAGCCGAGAAAACUCCCUCUCGUACUCGGCCACAGUGCGGUCUCCUUGGCGCAAGUUGCGCAAGUCCUGUUCAAUCUUCCGCUUGACACUAGUCGGAAAGUAGUGCGCCAACAGAAGCUCCUUGAACUUCAUCUAUAUAAUAGCCGCCAAGUCGGUGCUGGGGUUCUCCUGAAGAUCCAACCACCAGCGAUAGGCCUCGCCGUCCAGAUGGUGAGUGGCGAGCCAAACUCGAUCUCUCCUCCACGAAGGUGUCGCGGAAGAGCUUCUCCAUAUGCAUCAACCACUUUUCCACGAUCCAGUGGUCGACCUUCUCGCCAUCAAAGAUCCGGGGACUGCACCUCCUGAACUCGUUGAGGCGCUCCAUCAGUAGGUCCCGCUCCGCCCCCUCAACCAAUACGGGAAAAAUAGCUCCAAUCGGGGGUGCCUGAACAGGUGGCGCCGCCAAACCCCCCUCCAGAGGCGCGGCCACGGGCGCCGCACUCGACGAACUGGGUGCAGGGGACGGCGCUCUCGGCGCGACGUCCACAACUGGUGCUGGCGGUGUAGGGGCCUGGGUCUCCCUGAAAGCUGCCGCCUGCUGCAUAAGAAGGACCUCGAGGCGCUUCAUCCACGCCUCCUGUCAGCGCGCCGCAUCAGCCUGCUGUUGGGCCGCCGCCACCUGCUGAGCCACGAGAUCAGUAAGGGUCGCAAGCUGGCUCCUCAACUCACGGACCUCGCCAGAUCCGGAGGUAGAGGAGGUCUCGACGUCCUCCAAGUUUGCCGCAUUAUCCGCUCAAGCAGAUUGAGAGCACGUAAUCGGCAUCGUCACUACAACAUCAUAAUAGCGCAAGUUAGUAAAACCCACGCUAUCGCAUCCCCGCUCAAAUAGACAAUACCCAAAUCAUACGAAAGCAAGGAAGUGUUCUUCACCACUAACUCCCGAUGUUAUGUUGUCGGCCGCCAACGUAACCCUCCGCGAAGUUAGAAGCUAUACACUUCAAUUUAACUCCACUUUCUAGAGUUAUCAAAGAUACCCAAUCAAGAUACUUUCGCUUACAAGUCGAAUAGACCUCGUCUCUCACGAGCCUAUUUUCUAUAGUCCAACUAGCCUAAGGUUUGCUAGGUCCCCUAAGACUCAACCCUAGGCUCUGAUACCAAAUUAAUCUGUCACGCCCCGGGGCCCAGCAGAAGCCCGCUCGGCGCGUGUCCAAACCCGCCAUAUGUCUAAAACAUAUAAGGCAUCUAAAACAAAACAACAAAUGACACAAUAAAAGAAAACAACUAGAAGUAUCAGAGCAAUAUACAUCAUCUAGGAACUAAAGCAAUGGGAAGAGUAGAGAGCUAAAAUUACUAAAUAACCCAUAAAGUAGUACAACCAAAGGUCCAAAUACAAGUGCUAAAAGAGUACAUAGGUGGUCUCUAUACAUGGUAAACAAAAUCCCUCGCUCUCCCAAAACAUAAAAAGAGAGGAAACCACCUAAGAGUAAAAGUGAAUCCUCGCUAUCUAGCUAGCGAUCCCCUUGCCGCGGUCUCGUGCCUCCGCCGGUGCAAAGGGCUCUGAAAGGAAAACAUAAAACAGAGGGCGUGAGAACUAUUAAAUAAUAGUUUUCAAUGGGCAAUUACUGACUUCAGUGAAAUGCACCACUAGGCCCAAAACUAAGCAAGUAGGGUAAGUAAGUGAGAAUAAUAUGAACAAAUAAAUCACUGAAAUGGAAGCUCAAUAUAGCAUGAAGUCACUACUUUCAUCAGUAAUAAUCUACUACGUGAUCCCUACUUAGCAUGGAUUUGCAUAAGUAAUAAUCUAUCACAUAAUCUCUACUUAGCAUGAAUUUGCAUAAAUAAGAAAGCAACUACUACAAGUAAGUGCACAAGAGUAUCCAACAUGUAAAUGCAUAAGUAUGCAACUAACCCAAUGUCCACAAUGUAAAUAGUAAAGAUGUCAUUGUUUACUAUUCUAGUCAAUGUCCAAAAGGUACAAUAUGUUACCAGUAACCCUGUAGCACACUGGACCUUUGCAAAUUAUGAGGUUCGAGUGUUUGAUGUGUACUCCGAACUUUUUCACACUUGGUGGAAGGCCGUAGAUGGUAUUCCGGCCUAAAAGUUCGAUCUCUAGAGUUUUGACUUAGUCCUAAGAGUUUCCACUCUUGGGGACCGGUCCCUGAGAUGAGAGACCGGUCCCCUCAGAGUAGCACUACGGCAGGACUUGAGGCAACCGGUCCCUGGCUGGGAGAGACCGGUUCCCGAGCGCGUGUUCUGUGUGAGGGGUCCGAGAGACCGGUCCCUGGCGGGGAGAGACCGGUUCCCGAACGUGGGAUUUUCGGGGCAGGAUCAGAGACCGGUCCCAAGUCGGGGAGACCGGUCCCUUUGGGCGAAAACUGCCCAGACCAGGCUGAUGUGAAUUUGAGUUUUUGAGGGGCUUUUCUGGAGUUUGUUGCACUAGAUGGUCUAUAUGACCCUUUCACUCUCUUCCCUUCUCAUGUUUCCCCUUCACACCCAUUCUAGAGAGAGAAGAAGAGAGGGAGAAGGAGAGGAAGAAGAAUGAGAAGGAGAGGAUCUUGCUUGGAGGCCUUGGAGCAUUAUCUUCUUCCUCAUUUUUCACCUUUGGGGGACUUGGAGCUUGCCUUUGAAGCUUGGUGGUGGACCAAUCUUCAACCUAAGAGGAUUUUGGACUUGGUUUGGAGCUUCCCAGUGGUAUAUGACUAGUUCUUCUCCUCUAGAUCCUAGUUUUGGAGCUUUUUGCUUGAUGAAACCCUAGAUUGGGAUUCUUGGGUUAGAUUUGGGGCUUUUUGGAUUUGAGGGCUUUGAACCUAAUUGAUGGGUUUGGAACAUUUAAUUAGGUUGGAUUUGAAGAACUCUAACUCCCAUUUGGAGCUUGAGAGAGGAUUUCUUCACUUAGGUGAGUUUUUCUCCACCUUAGCCUAUGUUGNGAGGAUUUUCGGAAGCUAAGGCAAGGAAGUCGCAUGGUGCGGGAGUAUGAACGGGAGUUCACGCAUCUCGUCAAUUGCGUGCCGAGCUUGGUUCAUGGCGAUAGGGACCGUGCGGAGGCAUUCGAGCGCGGGUUGCGACCCGAGAUUUUCAAGGUCAUUCACGCAUUCCGCUUAAAGACCUACGAGGAAGUGCUUGAUCGCGCGCUUUGGGUAGAGCGCGGCAAUGCCAUUGCGCGAGAUGAGCGCGAGGCAUUUGAGAAGGAUAAGGAAAAGGAAAAGUCCAAGAAGCGGGCAUCUAGUGGACCCGCGGGGUAGUCGAGUUCCAAGCGACCCCUGCGGCAACAGCGACCGCAGUGGCGAGGAGGCAGGAGUCAGACUCAGAGUCAGACUACCUACUCGUGCGUGAUAUGUGGCGGAGACCACCGAGUUACUACUUGCCCACAGCGGGAGGGGCGGUGUUACCGAUGCGGCCAACCGGGACACAUAGGCCGAGAGUGCCCGGGCGGCACAUCCCCAGCUCCGUCAUCAGCUUCAGUUCAGUAUACUCAGUGACAGCUGGUGGGACUGCCACCUGCUACGUCUGUUGGACAAUCGUCGGCGCCUCGUCAGCUGGAGGCCUCUCGAGCACCUAGUAGGCGGGUAUUUGCCACUGUGGUGGAGGAGUCGCUGAUUACCGUUCCCGACGACGUCGUGGCAUCACUUUGAAAUCCUCCCGAGCAAAAGCCCCAAAUUUGGGUGCCCUAGCUCAUAACAUAUAUCAAACCUAGGGUUUGAUCUCAUUAGGAAGCAAAAGAAGCUUCAAUCUACUCUAGAGGCUCCAUAAAAACCAUCCUUAGCUUAAUCAAAACCCAUUUUAGGGUUUCACCAUGAGAAGGGUGAAGCUCACCUCUAAGCUUCAUCACAUACACCAAUCCAUGGUUUUGAUCUCUACAAGAAGCAAAAGAUAGCUCCAAAUACUCUAGGGAUCUCAUGAAAACCAUCAUUAGGGAAAUCGAAACCCUAGCUUAGAUUCUACCAUGAGAGAAGGCAAGGCUUAUCUCUAAAAGCUUUACUUCACCAAGCUAGAGAAGAAGAGGAUGGAGUUUCUUCACUCCUUCUUCUUGUUCUCCACCUUCUUCUUCUUUUCCUUUUUUUUUUCUUUUCUUUCUUUUCUUUGUCUUCUUCUUCUCUUUCUUGCCUUCUAGAGAGAGAAAGAGAGGAGAGAAGAGUGUGAGAGGGUGAGAAUGAAAGGAAAUAUCUCAUCGCCGAGACCGACGAGCGUCACGGAGAUUCGAAGUUUUCUUGAAUUGGCCGGCUACUAUCGGAGAUUUGUCGAGGGGUUUGCUAAGUUAUCUACUCCCCUCACGAGGCUCACGCAUGAAGGAGUCAAGUUCAUUUGGAAUGACGCAUGCGAGAGAAGCUUCCAAGAGUUGAAGCAAAGAUUGACGACCGCCCCGAUCCUAACCGUGCCGAUGACUAGAGCAGGGUAUGUGGUUUAUAGUGAUGCUUCACUUAAUGGAUUGGGUUGUGUGUUGAUGCAGGAUGGCAAGGUGAUCGCGUAUGCUUCGCGCCAACUAAAGGAAUAUGAAAAGAAUUAUCCGACGCACGAUUUGGGGUUGGCGGCCGUAGUUUUCGCAUUGAAGCUAUGGCGCCACUAUCUUUAUGGCGAGCGAUGUGAAGUAUACACGGAUCACAAGAGCUUAAAGUACCUGUUUACUCAGAAGGAGUUGAAUUUGCAGUGCAGAUGGUUGGAGCUGCUCAAGGAUUACGACCUGACAAUUCUUUACCACCCGGGCAAGGUUAACGUGGUGGCUGAUGCGCUAAGUCGGAAAUCGACAGAAAACUUAGUGAUGCACGUGGUUACUAAACCGCAGUUGAUCGAGCAGAUGAAGCGGUUAGAGUUGGAGGUGGUGACCCCUGACACACCUUUGAGGUUGAUGACAUUGGUGGUGCAACCUACACUUUUGGAUCGAAUUAAGGAAAAGCAAGCUUCCGACAUGGAGUUGCUAAAGAUUAAAGGUAAAAUGAUUGAUGGUUGCACCAGCGAUUUCCUUGUGGAUGACCAAGGAUUGAUGCGUUUUCGUGGGCGGAUUUGUGUACCGGCGGAUUCGGUAAUUAAAGAGGAUAUUCUUCAAGAAGCACACCGAGCACCGUAUGCUAUACAUCCGGGAGGCACCAAGAUGUAUAAAGAUUUAAAUUUGCUUUAUUGGUGGUCCGGGAUGAAAAAAGACGUUGGCGAGUUUAUAGCUCGUUGCUUAACUUGCCAACAGGUAAAGGCUGAGCAUCGAGUUCCCGCGGAAAAACUUCAGAGUUUGCCUAUUCCCGUGUGGAAGUGGGAGAAGAUCACCAUGGAUUUCGUGACUAGAUUGCCCCGCUCUCAGGCCGGGCAUGAUGCUAUUUGGGUGAUCAUGGAUAGGUUGACGAAGUCGGCGCACUUCAUACCUAUUCACACUACUUGGACCGGAGAGAAGCUCGCACAAGUGUACCUUGAUGAGAUUGUGCGACUUCACGGAGUGCCUAUGUCGAUAGUAUCGGAUCGAGACACUCAGUUUGUGUCUCACUUUUGGAGGAGUUUGCAGGACGCCUUGGGCACCCGACUAGACUUCAGUACUGCUUUCCACCCUCAGAGUGACGGGCAGUCGGAGUGCACUAUUCAGACUUUAGAGAAUAUGCUCCAAGCAUGUGUGAUUAACUUCCAGGGAGGAUGAUCGCAGCAUUUACCUAUGGCGGAGUUUGCUUAUAACAAUAGUUAUCAAGCAAGCAUCAAGAUGGCGCCGUUUGAAGCACUUUACGGACGGAAGUGUAGAUCGCCACUUCAUUGGAGUGAAGUUGGCGAUAGAUUGGUUUUGGGCCCUGAUGUGCUCCAGGAAGCUGAGGACAAGGUUCGGAUUGCUCGGGAGCGACUUUUGACGGCACAGAGUAGACAGAGAAGCUACGCUGAUCGACGGCAGCGAGACUUGGAGUUCCAAGUUGGAGACCAUGUUUUCUUGAAGGUCUCGCCGACUAGAGGAAUCAAGAGAUUCGGGAUUCGGGGAAAGUUGAGCCCCCGUUUUAUUAGACCGUAUGAGGUUUUGGAGUGUCUAGGUCCGGUAGCGUAUCGACUUGCCCUACCGCCGAAUCUAUCCGGCGUGCACAAUGUCUUUCAUGUAUCGGUCCUUCGGAGGUACAUUUAUGAUCCAGCUCACGUUUUGGAGACUAUACCAAUGGAGCUGCAUGAGGAUUUGAGCUUUAAGGAGCAAUUUUUGAGGAUUUUGGCUCGCGAGGUGAAGAGAUUGCGGAACCGUGAGAUUCCCUAAGUAAAGGUGCGUUGGAGCAACCACGACGAGCGCGAGGCCACUUGGGAGUUGGAGAGCGCACUGCGGGAGCGCUAUCCCCAUCUUUUUCAGAUGGAGGCUUGAGGUACGUUGCUUUCGAGUUUCGUAGACGAAACUCCUUUUUAGGAGUGGUGAAUGUAACACACCAAACCGUCGCAAAUAGUGAGGUUCGAGUGUUUGACUUGUGUUUCGAACUUUUUCACACUUCGUGGAGGGUCGUGGAUAGUGUUCCGACCUAUGAUUCGAGUCCCGAGAAUUGAGGUUUAAAACUUGGCACCAAAAUUCAAAAAGGUUGGAUUUUGGUGUGCUCUCGGGUAGCAUGCUACAGGGCAGUGUACCUGUAAUGCACUGGAUCUUAGCAAAUUGCAAGAUUCGAGUGUUUGAUCUGUGUGUGGAGCCUUUCCAUAGUUUUUGGAGGGUCGUUGAUAGUGUCCCGACCCUGGCACGCAUUCCGAGGAUGUUGGAGUGGGACUUGGCACCAAAAUUCCAAAAUCGAAAUUUUUGGACAGCCCUCGGGUAGCCUGCAGCAGGGCUUGUACCGGAACAAGACUGGCCUUGUACCGGUACAAGGGUUGAUGGUUGUACCGGUACAGCCAUCGGGCUUGUACCGGUACAGAGCCGCAGACCGAGCAACCCGAGCCUCGGGUUUGCAUUUUCGUCGGCCUUGUACCGGUACAAGAACCCGUGUACCGGUACAAGGAGGCAGAUUUCGUGCAGUUUGGUACGUGUAAGCAGAUGCGAGCUUUGGGGUAUUUUCGUGGGGUGUUUUUACAAUUGUUUGCAACUCUUUAAUAUACCCAGCCCCAUAGGCUGCUCGUUUUUUAGCCUAACCGUGAGGCAGACAGCGUUGAGCUCUUCCCUUUGAUUUUCUCCAUUUAUGGUGGAUUCGGGUUGGUUUUGAUUCUGAUCUCUUCCCACCUUGCUUUUUGUUUGUUUCUCCAUUUGAUGACUUUGGAGCUUGGAGAGGGUUGUUUGAGAGUAGGUCUUCAACUCAACUUGGCUUGGGCUGGUUUCCGUAUCUUGUGAGGUUAGCAUUAUUAUCUCUUUUUGAUCGUUUUGUAGUUUCUAUUAGUUGGAAAAUGCUAGAUUUUGGAAUUUAUAUGUUAGAAAUGGGAUUUUGGAUUUGUAGCUUCUAGGAUCAAUUAUUGGUUUAGAACUUUGAUUUAGGUUGGAUUUGAAGGACUCUGCUCCUUUUGAGAGAUCGAAAAGAUUCCUUGCGUACGGUGGUAUUCUCACUUGCUUGUAUAACAUAAAAUGUUGAUUCUUAGUUUGUUCGUAAGGGUUCAGAAGCAAUGGUUUAACUUCCUGGUUCUAAACCUUCUAGGGUGCUAAGCGAUAGUGGACACCAUUCGGUCGGAGCAAACGAUAGAGUUGCGGGCUUUGUGCGGUUUAGGUCAUUGUGUAAAAUGGGGAGGGAAUGCUCCUAUGGAUGGUUUAAAUUAUGUUUGUUAUAUUAAAUACAUGGGCAUAUUUCAUGACCUAAAUGGAAUUUAUAGUGAAUUUCUUAGAGCGCGUUAAACCCUUUAAAGCAUAUUUGUAAGAUUGCCUCGCUAUGUUGUAAGAGGAAGAAUGCAAUUGUUAGAUAUUGCAUGAGUUUUAAUGUUUAGAUGAAUGAUGUAAGAUCUGUCUUGGUGUUUGAAAAUGAUGUAGAAAUGACAUGCUUUUGGACUUAUUUUUAUAUUGGGAUGUAAAGAAAAAGUGUCAUCAAAGGGCACGAUUGACUAGAAAAUGCCGUUGAACUAAACGUUAAGAGGACAUGAUGAUAGACCAGCUGGAAUGUAUAUUCCUGUUUUUAGAAUAAUGACUUCUUAAGAGAGCCAAUAGGAGCAUGGCAGACAGUUCUAUAUUCCGUGUUUGCCAAUGACUUCGGAGGAUGCUUUGGGACAUUGUGCUGUGCUUCUGGCGUUUUAGAUCACGAUGGAAACAGUGAUGAACUGUGGGCUGAAACGGGUUAUUCGGCAUGAAUAUGCAUGCCAUUGCUCAUUCGACGUUACUUGUGAGGCGCAUCCUAUCGGCAUCGCGGUAAGAUAUGCCAGGCUGACAUGAUGCUCGGCGUGCGGGCUUGGGGCGCCAAAAUGGGGACUGGCGUGGAGCGGCUCAUAAUUCUAGAAAGGUGGGAUGUUGACUCCGGGCCAAUUUCGUUGGCCGACGCGCGGGACUAUUAACGGGUAGCUUCCACGAAGAUUAGUUACUGUGACAUAUUGUUUUGGGACAUUAACUAGAAUAGUAAACAAUGACAUAUUUACUAUUUACAUGUGACUUGGAUUGCAUUACUUAUGAUUUACAUGUUGGAAUACUUCUGUGCACGAUGCUAGGAUGAGUAGUUACUUACUUCUAUGCAGAUUCUUGAUAGUAGAGAUUAUGGAUGUAUUCAUUACUUAUGGCAUCCAAUUGCUAGUAGCAGAUCAUUGGGUAGAUUUUACUGUGAAAGUUGACAUGGCUAUAUUGCUCCAUUUCGGCCGGGUUAUUUUGUUCAUAUUUAUAUUCUUACUUGCUUACUACCUUUACUUGCUUAGUUUGGGGUAGUGCGUGCUUUCACUGGAGUCAGAAUUGCCACUGGGACUAUUAUUUUUACUCGUACUCCGCCGCUUGAUUUUAUGUUUUUCUUUCGAGCCUUGCACCGGCGGAGAGCCACAGGACCGCGGCAAAGGUGCAUAGCUAGAAUAUGCGAGGAUUCACUUCUUACUCUUUUUAGGUGGUUUUUUCAUCUAUUUAUGUUUUGGACGCGGACAGUGAGAGCGAGGAUUUUGUUUACCAUUUAUCUGAGACCACCAGUUUGUACUCUGUUGGGCACUUGUAUUUUGGAUCUUGGUUUUACUACUUUAUGGGUUUCAUUAGGUGCUUUUAGCUCUCUACUCUUCAGCUUUGCUUUAAGUCUUCGAUAAUGUAUAUUGGCUCUGAUACUUUUAGAUGUUUUCUCUCUAUUGUCUCUUUUUCGUUUUGUUUUAGAGCUUAUCUGUUUUAGGACGUAUGUGGGUCUGGACACGGCGCCGGGCGGGCUCCUAUGGACCCGGGGAAUGACAUUCGCGAAGCAGUUUCACGGUUGUCUCGAAGUCAAGUCCUCCCUCGCACUCUAAGGGGUGUAGCAGUCCAAAACACGGAUAUAGACUUUGCAGGACAUACAUGAAAAGACGUAUUGUGCAAGCCCGAUAGGUUCGGUGGUAGAGCAAAGUGGAUGCGCUACGGGACCUACGCUCCAAAACUUCAUACGGUUCCAUGGAGACGAGGUCCUUAGCCCAGCAUUUUCGAUCUCAUGGAUCCGCAUCUAGUUCGGGAGGAGACUUCAAGAAAACUUGGUCUUCACUUGGAAUCCAAGUUCGCUGUCGGGUCGGCGUAAGUGCUUGUCUACUUGCACUGUUUAAAGUCGCUCCUGAGCAAUUCCAAUUUCUCCUCAGCUUCUGGGGAGAAAUUGGUCCAAAGAUCUGUCGCAAUUUUCCUCCAUUGAAGUGGCGUAUUUCACUUUCCGUCCUAUCAAGUGCUUGACGGUGCCAUCUGAUGCUUCGCUUGUAAUAUUGUUUAGCAAACUCCGCAUAGUAGAUGGCGACUCUUACCCUUGGAAGUCUAGAUCACAUAUGCUCGGGCUAUCCUUAAAGUCUGUAUUUGUGCGCUGCGACUGGCCCAUCACUUAGGGUGGCAAGUAGUGUAAAAUCCAGCGAGUGCUGGGGGACUUGGUAGACUCCUCAAAAGUGAAGACAAAACGGGAUGUCUCGAUUCUGAUAGAAUUCGACGUGUGCAUCCGUGAGUCGCACAAUCUCAUCAAGGUACAUUUGGCGAGCUUUCCCAGUCAGUAGUUGAAUAGGUGAUGAAGUGCGCGGCGUUCGUUAAACCUAUCCCGAUAGCCAAAUAGCAUCAUGCACGGCCUUGAAGGAGACGGCAUUCCGUCACGAAAUCAUGGUGUCUUCUCCCACUCAGCGGGAAUAGGCACUCUGAUGUUUUCCGCGGAGAACUCGUGCUCGGCCUUUAUGUUGGCAGUUAGACAACGAGUUACAACUCGCCACUUCUUUUUCAUCCGUGUCUAAGUAAAGCAACUUUAAAUUCUUUAAUCUUGGUGCUCUUGGAGUAUAGUAGGGCUCUCGAUGCCACUUUUGAGAUGUCCUCUUUAAUUCCUGAAUUCCGUCGCCCGUACGCAAUGUCACAGAACGCAUCACCUUAGUCAUCACAAGAAAAUUCGCUGGUGAACUAUUACCAUUUUUCCUUUAAUUUUUGCAAUACAUCGGGAAGCUUCUUUCUUUAUUCAAUCUAUAGAGUGUUAGGUUGCCCACCCAUUCAUCACCUCAAAGAAUGGUGUCAGGAGUCACACCUCCAACUGCUACGCUCAUUGCGUCGAUCAACUGGGUGUAGUAACAAAUGAUCGUUAGUUUUUUGUUGAUUUCCUUACUUAGGAUCAGGCACAAAAUAAUAAGCCUUGACGGGGUGGUAUGAAUCUAGGUCGUAAAUCCCUUUGUGCAGUCCAAACAUCUGCGCCAUCUCAGGUUCAACUCUUUCUGGUGAAGUAAGUAUCUUCAACUCUGUGUCCGUGUAUAGCUUCCACCGUCAUACAAGUAUUGCGCGCCAUAUUUCAAGGCGAGACUAAAUGGCCAGCAAUUUCAAAUCCAUUGCUCGAUAGUUUCUUGUUCAUAAUCCUUUAGUUGGCGCGAAAUACGCGAUUCACUUUGCAUCUGCGACAACACACAAACCGAUCUAUUAAGUGAGUCACUAAACACAUACCCUGUCCAGCCAUUCGCAGGGUUCGGAUCAGGGCGGUCGGUCUCUUUUGCUUACUCUUGGAAGCUAUCUUCGCGAUGAUCAUUCAAAUGAACUUGACUCCUUUUUGCCGUGAAGUCUUGUGGGGGAGUCGGAUACUUAGCAAACCCCGGCAAUCUACGGGUAGUACCGGCAGAUCCAAGAAAACUCCGAAUUCCGUGACGACUCGUCGGGUCUCGGUCAAUCCCUAUGCCUCGAUCUUGGGACCACCGGCAAUACUUUGAUCCGAAAUCAGUCGCCAAGGAGCCUUAGCUCUCGAGCAAAAUUUAUACUUUUUAGCUUUGCAAAGUCUUUUCCCGAGAGUUUGACGUACAAGUCUCAAAGGUCAUCGUGAUCUGCUCCUGCUGGGAAUAACAAAUGUGUCGAUGACACCCGGAAAAAUCUGUCCAGGGUAAGCCUUAAAAAUCGGUUUAAUCAGAUCAUAAAUCGCUGCGGGCGCGUUCGUAAGCCGAAGCGAUUCACUGUGAAUCAUAUGGUCCAUUACGUGUUUCUAAAGCCGGUCUCUAUACAUGCCUCGGUUUUUAAUCUUUAACUGGUGAUAUCCGUUGCAAAAUCGAUCUUUGGAUACACACACCGAUUCCCUGAGAUGUAUAAAACAGCGCCGUCGUCCUCGCGGCAACGGUAUGUUGUUUGAUUGUGACUUAUUUAAGUUAUCCACGAUAUCCCACAUAUAGUGAGAAGUGAUCGUCCUUUUUCAUUUACGAACAAAAUUGGCGCUCCCGGUGGACGUCGGUACGAUUAAGCCCUUGUCCAACAGUUGUAGGCUGUGCCCUCAGUCCUUCAGCUCGCGGGGGUGCAAUCAUAAUGGGGGCCUUCUAGAUUGGGUGUCUCAGGACGGAUUACCAAAACUCGAUCUCCUAUCGGGUGAACCGAUUAGCUCAGCUGAGAAACACGUCCUUGGAGAACUCCGUACCACCGUGGAUAUCCUUAAUCCUAGAGGGUGUAUCUCGGCCCUAACACAACCUAGCCAAGUAGGUAACAUCUCGGCUGUCAUGCUGCCUAGUCGAGACGGCUGAUCGAAUCGUAAAGAGCAGAAUCCGGGUUCUCUAAUAUAUCACGGCUCAACUUGCCCGGAUCCUCUAAAAGUAACUGAUGCGAUUUUGCAUCAAUCGCUGGAUUAUUACUUGAGCUUAACCAAUCUGCCUAAGACACUCAAAUUCCCCCAGUUGCGCAGUGCUAGCAAGUCAGGGCAUAAUCCAACCUCACUACCCGAUUAGGCACUGGGGCAAUACUCUCUUUAAUAUCAAAAGAGGGUGGUCGGGACACUACACGUCCUGGAUGCAAAAAAAGGAGCUGGGGAUGCCUGCAACUCGGCAACAGCGAUUAUGACAUGAAUCGAUGACCGCUUAUUCAAUAAUGCACGAACUCUAAUGCAUCAAUGUAAAAUGUUACCUGCGAACAAUCUUCGCUGUCCAGCUCCUGGUCUUGAGCGGCAUUACUCCGCAUCGGGGCUGUCGAGUAACUCGCUCUGGCGCUGGAAAGGUGUCGCCCGGUGUUGCACGUUUGGGUCCCUGGCAGGCGGCUCGGAUAGAGCCGUGAGACGCAGUCGUGGUGCCGUAAGGUAACGGAUCUCCUCGGCACUCCGUCGGAAAGAGUGCCUCCUGGCACGACGUAGCACUGCUCCCGCUUGUGGACAUGCGGUGAGAGUGUGGGGACCCGCAAUCUACACACUGGGGACGUCGCGGGGUCGAUCAGGGCUCCUCGUGCGCUGCCGGCAGCGCCAUGCUGGCUGAGUCGUAGGGUGUUUCGUGCGGCUCUAGAGUGGUCAUGGCUCGUACCCUCGUCGCAGGCUCUUGGGCUUACCCCUGUCCACCCCGCGCCGCUCUGACAUCUCUGCCGCGCCGCUCUCCAACGAUUGAGACGCGUCACCACUCUCGGUAAGUUUAUGGAGGUUAGAGGAUUGCACGGACCGAAGAUCGACGGUGGCAACCCGUCAAACGAUGCGGGCUUGUCCUCGUGUCAUCACAACGAAAGGACCAGUGUAGAAGCGAGGGAGAAACUCGCCUCUGUACUCGCCAAGUGCGGUCUCCUUGGCGCAAGUUGCGCAAGUCCUGUUCAAUCUUCGUUGACACUAGUCCGAAGUUAGUGCGCUACAGAAGCCUCUUGAAUUCAUCUAUAUAAUGCGCAUCUGGUGCUGGGGUUCUCCUGUAAGAUCCAACACCAGCGAUGGCUCGCGUUCCAGAUGGUGAAUGUGGGCGAGCCAAUCGAUCUCAGUCCUCCAGGAAGAGUUGUCUGCGGACGAGCUUCGCAUAUGCAUCAACACUUUUCCGAUUCCAGUGGUGCUUUCUCGCAUCAAAGAUCGAGGGAAUGGCCUCUGAACUCGUUGAGGCGCUCCAUCAGUAGGUCCGCUCCGCCUCACAUCGGGAAAAAUAGCUUCAUGGGGGUGCUGAAAGGGUAACUGGCGCGCGGCAAACUCCCUCCACGAGGCCGCACGGGCGCCGCAUCGCCGAUGGGUCCGGGACGGCGCUCUCGGCCGCGGACGUUCCACAACUGGUGCUGCGGUGUAGGGGGCCUGGGUCUCCUGAAAAGUGCCGCUGCUGUUAAGAGGACUGAGGCGUUCAUUCACUCUCUGUCACGCGCGCGAUCAGCCUUUGCUGUUGGGCCGACGGCACCUGCUGAGCCACAGGAUCAGUAGUGGUGUCAAGCUUGAUCUCACUCACGAGACUCGCCAGAUCCGGAGGGUAGGGUCUCGCGUCUACCAAGUUUGCGCAUUAUGCCGCUCAAGCAGUGAGGCACGUAUUCCGCUGUCACUACAAUCUAAUAGCGAAGGUUAGUAACAGCUUCGCAAUCCGCCUUCAAAUAGAACAAUACCCAAAUCAUACAAAGAAGGAAGUGUUCUUCACACUCUCCCGCUGUUAUAGUUUGUCGGCCGGCGCAACGUAUCUCGCGAGUUAGAAGUUACACUUCAUUUUAACUCCACCACUUCUCGGUUAUCAAAGAUACCCAAUCAGAUACUUUCGCUUACAGAGUCGAAUAGGAAUCGUCUCUCACGGCUAUUUUCUUGUCCAACUGCCUAAGGUUUCUGAGGGCUCCCCUAGGACUAACCCUAGGUUGUUACAAAUUAAUUUCCUUUAAUUAUGUUCACGCCCGGGCCCAGCCAGAAGCCGCUCGGCGGUGUCCAACCGCCAUAUGUCUAAAGCAUAAGGAUCUAAAAUCAAAACAACAAUGAAAUAAAAGAAAAAACUUAGAAGUUCAGGCAUUAUACUCAUUAGGAACUCAAAGCAAUGCGGAAGAGCUAGGGGCUAGAAUACUAAAUAAACCCAUAAGUAGGUCAACAAUGAGUCAAAUACAAGUGCUAAAAGAGUACAUACGGUGGUUCUAUACAUGGUUAACAAAUCCUCGAUCUCAACAAAUAAAAAGAGAGGCAACCACCUAAGAGUAAAGUGAUUCCUCGCUAUCUUAGCUAUGCGAUCCUUGCCGCCGGUCUUUCGUGGCCUCCGCGGUGCAAAGGGCUCUGAAAAGGGAAAUAAAAACAGCGAGGGCGUUGAGAACUAUUAAAUAAUAGUAUUUCAAUGGGCAAUUACUGAUUCGUUGAAUGCCCUAGCAAAAUUUAAGAAGUGGGUAAGUAGAGUGAGAAUAAUAUGAACAAAUAAUCAGCUGAAUGGGAAGCUAAGCUAUGAUUUGAAGUCAACUACUUUCAUCAGUAAUAUGAUUACUACGUGAUCCCUAUUAGCCAUGGGAUUUGCUAAGUAAUUAAUUCUAUCAAUAAUCUUACUGAGCCAUGAAUUGCUAAUAAGAAGCAACUACUUUAAAGUAAGUGCCAAGAGUAUCAACAUGUAAAUGGCAAUAGUAUGCAGAUAACAAUGUCACAAUGUAAAUAGUUAAAGAUGUCUUGUUUUAUAUUUAGUCAAUGUCAAAAGGUACAAUAUGUUGCAGUAACUGAUGCACACUGGCCUUGCAUUAUGAGGUUCACGUGGUUUAUGUGUACUCCGACUUUCCACUGGGUUGAAGGCCGUGGAUGAUAUUCCGGCCUAAAAGUGUCGGCAUUCUAGCGUUUGACUUAGAGUCCUAAGAGUUUCCACUCGUUGGGACCGGUCCGUGAGAUGAGAACCGGUACCCAUCGAGUGCCUAGGCCCGGAUUGAAGGCACCGCGGUCCUGGUGCGAAGACCGGUUCCCGGAGCGGUGUUCUGUGUGAGGGGGUAGGGGCGAGGACGUCUCCUGGCGGGGAUGAGAGACCGGUUCCGAACGUGGAUUUUCGGGGAGGAAUUCAGAGCGGUCCAGUGGGAGACCGGUCCUUUUGGGCGAUAAUUGCCCAGGACCAGGCUGAUGUGAAUUUUGAGUUUUUGAGGGGCUUUUCGGAGUUUGUUGCAUUAGAUGGUCUAUAUGAACUUUCACUUCUUCCCUUCUACAUGUUUCCCUUACACACCUCUAGAGAGAGAAAGAAGAGCGGGAGAGGAGAGGAGAAGGAUUGAUGAAGGAGAGGAUCUUUGUUGGAGGCCUAUGGAGCAUUAUCUUCUUCUAUUUUUCACNNNNNNNNNNNNNNNNNNNNNNNNNCUUCUGGCCAGGGGUUUUUGCUUAUCUUAAACAAUACUAAUACAGCACCCACCGCCACCGUAGGCUCUUUUUAGCUUGCACUGCAUGGCGGAACAAAGGUAAGGAGAGCUUCUCUGUUGCUUCCUCUUUGUUUUACACCUCCCUCUAGCCUCGAUUUGAAGGAUUAAUCCCUUUCUUUCCUCUUUCUACUGUUCCCGCCAUUGAUGGAGCUUAGAACUUGGAUUUGGAGCUAAGUGGAGGAUAAUCUUGGGAUUUAAAGAUUUAGGCUUGAUUUGAAGCUUACUAAGAAGGUAAGCAUUACACUAUUUCACUCGAUAUUGAGUUUAUUGGAUUCUCAUGAGUUGACACCCUAGAUUGUGAUAUUAGGGUUUUUUGCAUUUUGAAUCUAGGGCUUUUGAAGCUAAUCUGAUGAUUAGAGGCUUCCAUUAGUUGGAUUGGAUGGAGCCCUAACUUCAAUUUUGGAUUUUAGAAUCUCUCUCUUGCUUUGGGGGACUUGGAGCUUGCCUUUGAAGCUUGGUGGUGGACCAAUCUUCAACCUAAGAGGAUUUUGGACUUGGUUUGGAGCUUCCCAGUGGUAUAUGACUAGUUCUUCUCCUCUAGAUCCUAGUUUUGGAGCUUUUUGCUUGAUGAAACCCUAGAUUGGGAUUCUUGGGUUAGAUUUGGGGCUUUUUGGAUUUGAGGGCUUUGAACCUAAUUGAUGGGUUUGGAACAUUUAAUUAGGUUGGAUUUGAAGAACUCUAACUCCCAUUUGGAGCUUGAGAGAGGAUUUCUUCACUUAGGUGAGUUUUUCUCCACCUUAGCCUAUGUUGCUUUUGUUUGAGCUUAGGGUUGAUCGUAAGAUUUGUUUGACCCUUGUUCCUACAUCUUUAGGGUGCUAGGAGAUUAGUCGACACCUUCGUCGGGGCUUACGAAGGGUUUCGGUAUCAUCGGUGGGUUUGGCUUCAUGAACACGAAGCAAAAUGGCCCCUAUGUUUUCUAUACUUGUCGUAGAGUAUUUUUGAAUGCAAAUCCAUGCUAAAUAUGAAUUAUGUGAAUUUUAGAACGCUUGAAAUGCAUGCCUUAUGUAUUCAUGAAAUUGCACUCUAUAUAGUAGAGCUAUAUGUGUAAACUGCAUGCAUUGUGGAAGGUGGUUAGCUUUGCAAAUUGAGAACAUAUCUCUUAUGUUUGAAAUGAGUAAAAUUAUAUAUUCAUGAACAUAGGUACCAUGCUUGGACUCAUUGAACAAUAGUGUCAUAAAGGGGCACUUGAAACUAGUAAACUGUGAAAAUGUAACAUAGAGACAUAGUGAUAGGCCAUUGGACGUCGACUAUAUUCCAUGUUAGAGACAUGACGACAUAGUGAUAGGCCUUUGUGACAUUCGAUAUAUUCCAUGCUUUAGACAUGAGGACUUGGUAUUUGAGACAGACUUAUACGCAUGCUUGCCAUUGUGCUCAUUCGCACAUGCUUGUGAGGAUCGCUCUCUACAAGCCGGCACUCCGGAGUUGGCCAUCGCGAUAUAUUCGCUGUGUGGGAUUGGGCGCCGAAGUGGAUUGCCGUGGGAAAGGCUCAUUUCUAGGGUGGGGAUGUGACUACCACGGGGCCAUUAGGCACGGUAAAGCCAGACAGCCUUCAGGUGGGUCUUAUGCCAGACAGCCUUCGGGUGGGUCUUAUCAGAGUUGAACUUUAAACAGUUAAAGUGACAAGUGGACAUUGGCUAGAAUAGUGAACAUUGACAUUAUUGCUAUUCACAUUGUGAGCAUUGGGAUAGUUGCAUAUUUUUGCAUUUACAUGUUGGAUACUCUUGUGCAUAUUCUUGUAGUAGUUACUUUCUUGUUUAUGCAAAUUCUGCUAAGUAGAGACAUCAUGGUUGAGUAGUAAUCCUGUUUAUUUUCUAGUUGUUUUUAUCGCUUUUGGCUUAUGCUUAUACACUGACCCUUUUGUUGUAGCCUUUGGGCCUAGUGGCGCAUUCACUGAAGUCAGUAAUUGCCCACUGGGAACUAUUAUUUAAUAGUUCUCACGCCUCUAUUUCUAUGUUUUCUUUUCAGAGCCUUCGGCACCGGCGGAGGCGCGGGAUCGCGGCAAGGGUGCCGCGUAGUUAGCUCGGAGAGAGAGUCCGUUCUGCUUUAGGUGGUUACUCAUCCUUUGUUUGUGUAGAGAGAAUGAUAGAUUUUGCACCAUGUAUAGAGAGACCACAUUGUAUUCAGACUAGUACUUGUUAUGGGACUCCUUUUGUAUUAUCUUAUGUUUACUUAGUGGAUUACCAGUUUUAUGUUCUUCUCCUUGUUGUAGCACUUCGUAGUAUUUUGCUCUGAUACACUUAGAUGCUUUCUUUUUAUUGUUUUAUUUACCGCUUUAUUUUAAACGCCUUGUAUGUUUUAGACGUACGGCAGGUCUGGACACGCGCCGUGCGGGCUCCCGCUGGGUCCCGGGGCGUGACAAAUUAGUUUGGUAUCAGAGCCUAGGGUUGAGUCUUAGUGGACCUAGCAAACCUUAGGCUGAUUGGACUAUUGGAUAUAGGCUCGUGAGUGACGAGAUCUAUUUGAUUUGUAAGAGAAAGUAUCUUGAUUAGGUAUCUUUGAUAACUCUAGAAAGUGGAGUUAGAUCGAAGUGUACAGCCUCUAACUUCGCGGAGGGUUACGUUGGCGGCCGACAACGUAACAUUGGGAGUUAGUGGUGAAGAACACUUCCUUACUUUCGCAUGAUUUGGGUAUUGUCUAUUUGAGCGGGGAUCCGAUAGCGUGGGUCUUACUAACUUACGCUUUUAUGAUAUUGUAGUGUGAUGCCGAUUACACGCUACCAAUCUGAGCGGAUAACGUGGCAAACCUGGAGGAGGUUGAGACCUCCGCUACCUCCGGAUCCGGCGAGGUCCGUGAGUUGAGGGGCCAGCUUGCGGCCCUCACUGAUAUGGUGGCAUAGCAGACUGAGGCGGCGCGCCGACAGGAGGCGCGGAUGAAGCGUCUGGAGGAUCUCCUACUACAGCAGACGGAGGCUCGGGAGACUCAGGCCCCUACACCGCCAGCACCGGUUGUGGACGUCGCGCCGAGAGCGCCAUCCCGAGCGCCCAGUUCGUCGCGAGCACCACCCGCGGUAGCGCCUCAGGAGGAGGCUAUUGGGGCACCACCUGUGCAGAGGCCCCCGAUUGGAGCUGUUUUUUUCGUGAUGGCUGACGGGGCAGAGCGGGACCGACUGAUGGAGCGCCUCAAUUAGUUCAGGAGGUGUAGCCCCAGGAUUUUCGAUGGCGAGAAGGUCGACCACUGGAACGUGAAAAAGUGGUUGAUGCAUAUGGAGAAGCUCUUCCGCGAUACCUUCGUGGAGGAGAGGGAUCGAGUUUGGCUCGCCACUCAUCAUCUGGACGGCGAGGCCUAUCACUGGUGGUUGGAUCUCCAGGAAAACCCCAGCACUGACUUGACGGCUAUAUCUUGGACGAGGUUCAAGGAGCUUCUAUUGGCUCACUACUUCGCGACCAGCGUCAAGCGGAAGAUGGAGCAGGAUCUGCACAACUUGCGCCAAGGUGAUCGAACUGUUGCCGAGUACGAGCGGGAGUUUUCUCGGCUUCUUCAUUGCGUGCCUUUCGUCGUGCGGGACGACGAGGACAAUGCCCGCAUCUUCGAGCGAGGGUUGCGACCGUCGAUUUUCCGGUUUGUGCAAUCCACUAACCUCCAAACCUACCGGGAGGUGGUGAUCCGCGCGCUCAUAGUGGAGAGCGGCGCAGCAGAGGUCCAGGAGCGACGAGAGGCCAUGGACAAAGGCAAGGCCAAGAGGCCUGCGGCUGAGGGUGCGAGCCAGACGCACUCUAGGAGGCCACCGAAGCAUCCUAGGAGCCAGCAGCGUGGACGAGGCUCAGCAGCGCAGUGAGGAGGAUCUGACCGACGCCGGCCCUCCCCGUGUGUGAUCUGUGGUGGUCCUCAUCACCCACCGCACUGUCCACAGCGGGCGGGCAGGUGCUUCCAGUGUGGCCAGGAGGGCCACGUGCGGACUGAGUGCCCGAGAAGUUCUUCACCGGCACCGUCGACUCCAUCGGCACCGGCUCUACCAGCCGCCAGCCACGGGACUCCGUCGACACGGUACCAGCCUGGGCGGCCACCCGUCGUAUGCCGCUCAGACUGAGUAGGCGGCAGGAGCUGAGGAUGUGGUUGCAGGUAUCAUUUUACUUGAUGGCAUUAGAGUUCGUGUUUUAUUUGAUACCGGUGCAUCGCAUUCAUUUAUAGAUCGGCUGUUUGCCGAGUUGCAUGGCAUCCCUUUGGUUUCUUUAUUGCAUCCGGGACAUGUUGUAGUACCCGACCACACUCUGGAUAUUAGAGAGUAUUGCCCUAGUUGCCCCGUUCGGGUAGGAGCUUAGAUCAUGCCCGUAGAUUUGCUAGCCCUGCGCAAGCUAGGGGUUUCGAUGUGGUCUUGGGUAUGGAUUGGCUAACCAAGUAUUAUGCCACGAUAGAUUGCAAGAAUCGCACGGUUACUUUUAGAGAACCAGGACAGACUGAGGUUGUGUUUAGAGGAUGCCGGAGUUCGCUUUUUGCGAUGUCGAUCAGCUCGUCUCGAGCUAGGCAGCUGAUCAGCCGAGGAUGUGUAGCCUACUUGGCUAGUGUUGUGUUGAGGGGCGAGGAUGGCACCCCUAGGAUUGAGGAUAUCCCGGUGUUACGGGAGUUCCAGGACGUGUUUCCAGCAGAGUUAUCGGGUAUGCCACCCGAUAGGAAGAUCGAGUUUGUAGAAGAUCUCGUCCCUGGGACUACCCCAAUCUCAAAGGCACCCUAUAGGAUGGCACCAGCGGAACUGAAGGAGCUGAGGGCACAGCUACAGGAUUUGUUGGACAAGGGCUUCAUUCGACCGAGCGUCUCGCCGUGGGGAGCGCCAGGUUUGUUCGUCAAGAAAAAGGAUGGAUCACUUCGCCUAUGUGUGGAUUAUCGUGAACUUAAUAAAGUCACGAUCAAGAAUAAGUAUCCGUUGUCGAGGAUCGACGAUUUAUUUGAUCAGCUUCAAGGAUCGUGUGUGUAUUCCAAGAUAGAUUUGCAGUCGGGACACCACCAAUUAAAGAUCAAACCCGAGGAUGUAUCGAAGACGGCUUUUAGAAUACGGUAUGGACAUUAUGAGUUCACAGUGAUGCCGUUCGCGCUUACUAACGCCGCGGCAGGUUUUAUGGAUCUGAUGAACCGUGUUUUCAAGCCUUACCUGGACAGAUUUGUCGUGGUGUUCAUCGACGAUAUUUUGGUUUAUUCCCGAAGUGAUGCGGAUCAUAAGAAACAUUUGAGGCUUGUAAUUCAAAUACUUCGGGAAAAGGAGCUUUAUGCCAAGCUGAAAAGUGUGAAUUUUGGCUUCGAGAGGUAGCCUUCCUUGGACAUUUGAUAUCGGGAUCGGGUAUAGCCGUGGAUCCUAAGAAGAUUAAAGCAAUCAAGGAUUGGCCGAGACCGACGAGCGUCACGGAGAUUCGGAGCUUCCUUGGAUUGGCCGGUUAUUAUCGGAGAUAUGUUGAGGGGUUUGCUAAGUUGUCUACUCCCCUCACGAGGCUCACGCAUAAAGGCGUUAAGUUCAUCUGGAAUGAUGCGUGUGAGAGAAGCUUCCAAGAGUUGAAGCAAAGAUUGACGACCGCCCUGAUCCUGACCCUACCUAUUGCUGGAGCAGGGUAUGUGGUUUUUAGCGAUGCAUCUCUUAAUGGAUUGGGCUGCGUUCUGAUGCAGGAUGGCAAGGUGAUCGCGUAUGCUUCUCGCCAACCGAAGGAAUAUGAAAAGAAUUACCCUACGCACGAUUUGGAGUUGGCGGCCGUAGUCUUCGCAUUGAAGUUAUGGCGCCACUACUUGUAUGGCGAGCGGUGUGAAGUAUACACGGAUCACAAGAGCUUGAAGUAUUUGUUCACUCAGAAGGAGUUGAACUUGAGACAGCGCAGAUGGUUGGACCUGCUCAAAGAUUAUGAUUUGAUGAUUCUUUACCACCCGGGCAAGGCUAACGUGGUAGCUGAUGCGCUAAGUCGGAAAUCGACAGAAAACUUAGCGAUGCAUGUUGUUACUCAACCGCAGUUGAUCGAGCAAAUGAAGCAGUUGGAGUUGGAGGUGGUGACUCCUGACAUGCCUUUGAGGUUGAUGACGCUGGUGGUGCAACCUACACUUUUGGAUCGAAUUAAAGAAAAGCAAACUUCCGAUGUGGAGUUGCAAAAGAUUAAUGGUAAAAUAGUUGAUGGUUGCACCGGCGAUUUUCUUGUGGAUGACCAAGGAUUGAUGCGUUUCCGUGGACGGAUUUGUGUACCGGCGGAUUCAGGAAUUAAAGAAGAUAUUCUUCAAGAAGCGCACCGAGCGCCCUACGCUAUACAUCCGGGAGGCACCAAGAUGUAUAAGGAUUUAAAGUUGCUUUAUUGGUGGCCCGGGAUGAAAAAGGACGUUGGCAAGUUUGUAGCUUGUUGUCUAUCCUGCCAACAAGUAAAGGCUGAGCAUCGAUUACUCGCGGGAAAACUCCAGAGUUUGCUUCUUCCCGUGUGGAAGUGAGAGAAGAUCACCAUGGAUUUUGUGACAUGAUUGCCUCGCUCUCAGGCCGGGCAUGAUGCUAUAUGGGUGAUCGUGGAUAGGUUGACGAAGUCGGCGCACUUCAUACCUAUUCAUACGACUUGGACCGGAGAGAAGCUCGCACAAGUGUACCUUGAUGAGAUUGUGCGACUUCAUGGGGUGCCUACCUCGAUUAUAUCGGACCGAGACACUCGGUUUGUGCCUCACUUCUGGAGAAGUCUACAGGACGCCAUGGGCACCCGACUCGACUUCAGCACUGCUUUCCACCCUCAGAGUGAUGGGCAGAAGGAGUGCACUAUUCAGACCAUAGAGGAUAUGCUCCGAGUAUGUGUGAUAGACUUCCAGGGAGGAUGGUCGCAGCAUCUACCGAUGGCGGAGUUUGCGUAUAACAACAGUUAUCAAGCAAGCAUUAAGAUGGCACCAUUCGAAGCACUUUAUGGACGAAAGUGUAGAUCGCCACUUCAUUGGAGUGAAGUUGGCGAAAGAUUGGCAUUAGGCCCUGAUGUGCUCCAGGAAGCUGAGGACAAGGUUCGAAUUGCUCGGGAGCGACUUGUGACAGCGCAGAGUAGACAGAGGAGCUACGCCGACCGACGACGGCGAGACUUGGAGUUCCAAGUUGGAGACUAUGUUUUCUUGAAGGUCUCGCCGACUAGAGGGAUCAAGAGAUUUGGGAUUCGGGGUAAGUUGAGCCCCCGUUUCAUUGGACCGUAUGAGAUCUUGGAACGGAUAGGUCCGAUAGCGUACCGACUUGCUCUACACCGAACCUAUCUGGCGUGCACAACGUCUUUCAUGUAUCGGUCCUUCGGAAUUAUGUCUUCGACCAGACUCAUGUGUUGGAUGCUACACCUGUAGAGUUGUGGGACGAUUUGAGCUUCGAGGAGCAACCCGUGAAGAUCUUGGCUCGCGAGGUGCGGAAACUGCGGAAUCGGGAUAUUCUGUACGUGAAGGUUCUUUAGAGCAACCACAGGGAGCGAGAAGCCACAUGGGAGCAAGAGAACGCGAUGCGGGAGCGCUAUGCCCAUCUUUUUCAAAUGGAGCCUUGCGGUAUGUUGUCGUUUUGAGUUUUGCGGACGAAACUCUUUUUUAGGAGGGGUGAAUGUAGCACAUUGGACCUUUGCAAAUUGUGAGGUUCGAGUGUUUGAUGUGUACUCCGAACUUUUCCACACUUGGUGGAAGGCCAUAGAUGGUAUUCCGGCCUAAAAGUUAGAUCUCUAGAGUUUUGACUUAGUCCUGAGAGUUUUCACUCUCGGGGACCGGUCCCUGAGAUGAGAGACCGGUCCCCUCAGAGCAGCACUACGGCAGGACUUGAGGCAACCGGUCCUUGGCUGGGAGAGACCGGUUCCCAAGCGCGUGUUCUGUGUAAGGGGUCCGAAAGACCCGUCCCUAGCGGGGAGCGACCGGUUCCCGAAUGUGGGAUUUUCGGGGCAGACUGAGUGACCGGUCCCAAGUCGGGGAGACCGGUCCCUCUGGGCGAAAACUGCCCAGACCGGGCUGAUGUGAAUUUGAGUUUUUGAGGGGCUUUUCUAGAUUUUGUUGCACUAGAUGGUCUAUAUGACCCUUUCACUCUCUUCCCUCCUCAUUUCUCCCCUUCACACCCAUUCUAGAAAGAGAAGAAGAGAGGGAGAAGGAGAGGAAGAAGAAGGAGAAUGAGAGGAUCUUGCUUGGAGGCCUUGGAGCACUAUCUUCUUCCCCAUUUUUCAUCUUUGGCGGACUUGGAGCUUGCCUUUGAAGCUUGGUGGUUGACCAAUCUUCAACCUAAGAGGAUUUUGGACUUGGUUUGGAGCUUCCAAGAGGUAUGUGACUAGUUCUUCUCCUCUAGAUCCUAGUUUUGGAGCUUUUUGCUUGAUGAAACCCUAGAUUGGGAUUCUAGGGUUAGAUUUGGGGCUUUUUGGAUUUGAGGGCUUUGAAACCUAAUUGAUGGGUUUGGAACCUUUAAUUAGGUUGGAUUUGAAGAACUCUAACUCCCAUUUGGAGCUUGAGAGAGGAUUUCUUCACUUAGGUGAGUUUUUCUCCACCUUAGCCUAUGUUGCUUUUGUUUGAGCUUAGGGUUGAUCGUAAGAUUUGUUUGACCCUUGUUCCUACAUCUUUAGGGUGCUAGGAGACUAGUCGACACCUUCGUCGGAGCUUACGAAGGGUUUCGGUAUCAUCGGUGGGUUUGGCUUCAUGAACACGGGGCAAAAUGGCCCCUAUGUUUUCUAUACUUGUCGUAAAGUAUUUUUGAAUGCAAAUCCAUGCUAAAUAUGAAUUAUGUGAAUUUUAGAACACUUGAAAUGCAUGCCUUAUGUAUUCAUGAAAUUGCACUCUAUAUAGUAGAGCUAUAUGUGUAGACUGCAUGCAUUGUGAAAGGUGGUUAGCUUUGCAAGUUGAGAACAUGUCUCCUAUGUUUGAAAUGAGUAGAAUUAUGUAUUCAUGAACAUAGAUACCAUGCUUGGACUCAUUGAACAAUAGUGUCAUAAAGGGGCACUUGAAACUAGUAAACUAUGAAAAUGCAACAUAGAGACAUAGUGAUAGGCCAUUGGACAUCGACUAUAUUCCAUGUUAGAGACAUGACGACAUAGUGAUAGGCCUUUGUGACAUUCGAUAUAUUCCAUGCUUUAGACAUGAGGACUUGGUACUUGAGACAGACUUAUACGCAUGCUUGCCAUUGUGCUCAUUCGCACAUGCUUGUGAGGGUCGCUUCCUACAAGCCGACACUCUGGAGUUGGCCAUCGCGAUACGUUCGCCGUGCGGGAUUGGGCGCCGAAGUGGAUUGCCGUGGGAAAGGCUCAUUCCUAGGGUGGGGAUGUGACUACCACGGGGCCAUUAGGCACGGUAAAGCCAGACAGCCUUCAGGUGGGUCUUAUGCCAGACAGCCUUCGGGUGGGUCUUAUCAGAGUUGAACUUUAAACAGUUAAAGUGACAAGUGGACAUUGGCUAGAAUAGUGAACAUUGACAUUAUUGCUAUUCACAUUGUGGUCAUUGGGAUAGUUGCAUAUUUUUGCAUUUACAUGUUGGAUACUCUUGUGCAUAUACUUGUAGUAGUUCCUUUCUUGCUUAUGCAAAUUCUGCUAAGUAGAGACAUCAUGGUUGAGUAGUAAUCCUGUUUAUUUUCUAGUUGUUUUUAUCGCUUUUGGCUUAUGCUUAUACACUGACCCUUUUGUUGUAGCCUUUGGGCCUAGUGGCGCAUUCACUAAAGUCAGUAAUUGCCCACUGGAAACUAUUAUUUAAUAGUUCUCACGCCCCUAUUUCUAUGUUUUCUUUUCAGAGCCUUCGGCACCGGCGGAGGCACGGGAUCGCGGCAAGGGUGUCGCGUAGUUAGCUCGGAGAGAGAGUCUGUUCUGCUUUAGGUGGUUACUUCUUCUUUGUUUGUGUAGAGAGAAGGAGAGAUUUUGCACCAUGUAUAGAGAGACCACCUUAUAUUCAGACUAGUACUUGUUAUGGGACUCCUUUUGUAUUAUCUUAUGUUUACUUAGUUGAUUACCAGUUUUAUGUUCUUCUCCUUGUUGUAGCACUUCGUAGUAUUUUGCUCCGAUACACUUAGAUGCUUUCUUUUUAUUGUUUUAUUUACCGAUUUAUUUUAGACGCCUUGUAUGUUUAGACGUACGGUGGGUCUAGACACGCGCUGGGCGGGUUCCCGCUGGGUCUCAGGGCGUGACAAACCCAAUCCUGUGGAAGCUACCCGUAGGUAGUCCGGCCUGCGCUGUGCCAACAAUGGCCCCGUGGUAGUCAACAUCCCCACUCUAGGAAUGAGCCUCCCCCACGGUAUCCCAUUUUGGCGCCCAAUCCCGCACGGGCGAGCAUAUGUCGCAAUAGCUAUCUCCGGAGUGCCGACUUGUAGGGAGCGACCCUCACAAGUAUGUGCGAAUGAGCACAAUGGCAUACAGGCGAAUAAGUCCGUCUCAGGUCCCAGUGGUUCAUCACUGUUUCAUCGGAUCUAAAACUCGGAAUACAACACAUGUGCCAAAGGCCUGCCUCUAUGUCAUCGUGUCUAAAAUACGGAAUAUAGUAACUGUCUCAAUGGCCUAUCUCUAUGUCAUCAUGUCUAAAACAUGAAAUAUAACAGAUUUUCAGUGGUCUAUCAUCAUGUCUCUAAAUUGUAGUUCAACGAUUUUCUAGUUCAAGUGCCCCUUUAUGACACUUUUGCUUACUAUGUCCCAAUAUGAAUAAUAAGUCUAAAAGCUUGUCAUUCUAAUCAUUUUCCAUACGAGAAACAUGAUCUUACAUCAUCCAUUUGAACAUUAAACUCAUGCAUACUAACAAUCCAUAUACUUCUCUCUACAACAUAGAGUCAAUUUUUCAUGAUGCAUAACAUAGGAGUUUUAAGCAUUUUAAAAUUCAUAUAAAUUCUGUUCAACAUGGAUAUGCAUGCAUUUAUAGUAUACGAAAAUAUUUAACCACGUAGGAGGUAUUUCCCCCUAUUUCAAUGAAGCCAAACCCACCAAAAGCUCCGGGCGGGCGUCCGAAACGCUAACGAAGCUUCGGUAAUCACUCAUAGCACCCUAAGAGAUAGGCUAGGGGAGUUACUGUAGCACACUGGAUCUUUGCAAAUUGCAAGGUUCGAGUGUUCGAUGUGUAUUCCGAACUUUUCCACACUUGGUGGAGGGCCGUCGAUGGUAUACCGGCCUAAAAGUUCGAUCUCGAGAGUUUUGGACAAGUCCUGAGAGUUUUUACUCUCGGGGACCGGUCCCUGGAAGGAGAGACCGGUUCCCCCAGUGAGCAGUGCUGCGUAGCCGGCGAGGCAACCGGUCCCUGGCAGUCGAGACCGGUUCCCGAGCGCGUUCUCGCAGUGAGAGACCGGUCCCGCGCAGGGAGAGACCGGUUCCCGAACGCUGGGUUUUCGGGUUCGCAGCGAGAGACCGGUCCCUGCUGGGGAGAGACCGGUCCCUCUGGGCGGAAACUGCCCAGUCCGGCUGAUGUAAAUUGGACUAUUUUCGGGCUAGUGAUUUGUGUUACAAGAGAAGCGCAUUAUAUGGCACUUCCCCUUUCCUCUCUCACUUUCACCAUUUUUCUUGCUCUAGAGAGAGAAAGGGAAGGAGUAAGAAGGCAGAAGAAGAGAAGAGGCAGCUUGCAUAGAGCCUGUUGGAGCAUCCCUUCUUCCUCAUUUUCUACAUUUGGAGCUUUGCACCUGCGGUAUGGAGCUUUGUGAAAGAUCAACCUCAACCCUACUUGGUUUUGAACUUGGAUUGAGCUUCUCCUUGAGGUUAGCUUAUAAUCCCCAUUUAAUACAUGUAUUAUCAGGUUUUACUAGAUGAACCCUAGAUUCUGGGAUUCGGUCUUUAUUUGGCGGUUUUUUGGAUUUUGGGCUUCUGAUCUCAUUUGAAUGUUUUGGAACCUUUAAAUAGCGUUAAUUGGGGACCUCUACUAUCAUUUGAGGAUUUGGAGAGGGUUUUCCAACUUGAGGUGCAGUUUUUCCACCGUAGCUUGAGUGUGUAUGAUAUGAGGCUAUACGCUUUUGUUUGUUUGGGUGACCCUACUUUUUGAUGUCCCUAGGUACUUAGGGAGCUGUGGUAUCUUUCGUUUCGGCGAAACAAGAAGUCGAUAUCUUUCGGUGGUUUGGCUGCGUUGAAAGUUCGGGCGAUGCAAUCCCCUAUGCUCUUGUCUAUUGUUGUACAUUGUUUUGAAUUUCAUUUCUAUGUAAUGGCGAUUUAUAUAGAAUUUAUUAGAGCACUUAUAGAUGGCAUGUCCCUAUGGUAUUAUUUUGAAAAAUUUCACUACAUAUAGUAGAGGGCUAUAUGAGUUUAAAGACGCAUGCAUACUGGAAAUGUGCUUAUUUUGCAGUGGGAAAAUAUCUCUUAUGAGGAUUAAUGACUUGAAAUAUGUACUUCUUGGAACUUCGAUUGCCAUGUUUUGACAUAAGGAAACAAGAUGUCCAAUUAACAGGGUCACAUUGAAAUAGUAAACUAUGAACUGCGAAAUAGAGACAUAUUGGUAGAGCACUACAUAUCUGCUCAAAUUCAUGUUAGAGAAUUGAUGUACAUAGCGAUUAGGCCUCGAGGUACUUGACACAUUCCAUGUUUAGAUCAUGAGACUUGUGUACUUGCGGACAGAUCGUUUUGAUUACUUGCCAUUGUGCCAUUACGCAAUGCUUGGUAGGGUCGCUCCUACAAGCCGGCAUCCGGAGAUGGCCAUCCGAUUCAUAUCUCGCCGCUCGGGAAUGGGCGCCGAAGUGGAUUGCCGUGACAGGCUCAUUCCUAGAGGGUGGGAAAUGAUGACUACCACGGACCAUUAGGCUCGGCAGCCGCGCAGAAGCUACGGGUGGGUCUCAGAGCCAUAGACAGGGGUUCGGUGGUCUCUUCUAGAUUCGACUUCAUAUAUCCAUAUGACAUUGGAGCAAUGAUGGACUUAGUGUUACUACGGACAUUGGUAAGAAUAUGUAUUAUCAGCGGACCUCUCUUUUAAACUAUUUCACAUUGUGAACAUCAUGAUAGUUGGAGACAUUUACUUUAUGCAUAGUUGUUUUCAUACUUAUGCUAUUCAUGCUAAGUAGAGAUAUCAUGUCGUAGUAGGUUACAUAUUUACUUACCUGUCGCCUUUCUACUUCUAUAGUCACUGACAUCUUUUGUAGCUUUGGGCCUUGUGGUGCAUUCACUGAAGUCAGUAAUUGCCCACUGGGAACUAUUUUUAAUAGUUCUCAUGCCCCUGUUUUGUGGUUUACUUUUCAGAGCCUUCGGCACCGGCGGAGGCACGGGAUCGCGGCAAGGGGAUCGCUUAGCUAGCUAGCAAGGAGCGGUACUUUGCCUAGGUGGUUACUCUUUCUUUUGUAGUUGAGAGUGUGAGAGAUUUUGUACCUUGUAUAGAGAGACCACCUUGUACUCCUUUUAGCACUUGUUAUGGGAUUCCUGUUGUAUUUACUUUAUGUUUUAUUUAGUGGAUUUACAGUUUUACCUUAUCCUUUGUUGUAGCAUUUAGACAUUUAUUAUGCUCUGAUACUCCUAGAUGUCUUUUAUUAUUGCUUUACUUAUUGUUGUUUUUAGACGCCUUAUACGUUUUAGACGUAUGGCGGGUCUGGGCGCGCGCCGGGCGGGCUUCCGCUGGGUCCCGGGGCGUGACAGUUACAACAUCGAAACGUCAAUUCAUGAGUUCAAACAUUAAGCAACUUAAGAAAAGGGCUAAAAACUCACCGAAAAGUGGUGAAAAUCUCUCUUGAUCUCCUAAAGGGAGCAAGAAUCUUUUCAACCCAACCUACACGAAGGUUCUAAACCCAUCAAUUGGGUCCUAAAGCUCACAAAUCAAAAAUCGCCAAAUUCCAACCUUAAUACCCCAAAUCUAGGAUUUCUACCAACAAAAAGCAUCAAAACUAGGAUCUAGAGAAAAGAAUUUAGCCACUAACCUCUAGAAGGCUUCCAACAAGCCCAAAGUCCACAAGCUCCCAAGAUCUUCCCUCAACGAAGCUCCAAUCAUGAGCUCCAAGCUUCUCCUAUGGAGGAAACCAACAAGGAGCAAAGGAAUAUAAAGAGGAGAAGAUCAAAACAAGCAAAAAUCCAUCAAAAAUGGAGAAGAACCAAGGGGGAGAGUUCUCACCUUGUUCUCACUGAUCUAUGGCUCAAAACCCUGUCUAAGAGGGCUGGGGUAACAUAUAUAGGUGUUGUAACAAUUGCAAAAACACCCCUGCCCGAAAACUGCUCGCACUGCACUAUGUACCGGUACACCGGCUCGCGUACCUGUACUACACCUGCGAAACAGCCAAAUCCGAGCCUCGGGUUUGCAUGAAAUCUGUCUGUGUACCAGUACACCAGCCCUGUACCGGUACAGCCAUCAGCGCGUACCGGUACAGCCAUCAACCCCGUACCGGUACACAGCCCUGCUGAGGCUACUCGAGAGCUGACUAAAAAUCCGACUUUUCGGAUUUUGGUGCUAGGUUUUAAACCUCCAAUCUCGGGGUUCGAACUAUGGGUCGGAACACUAUCCACGACCCUUCACGAAGUGUGAAAAAGUUCGGAACACAAAUCAAACACUCGAACCUCACUAUUUGCGACGGUUCAGUGUGUUACAGCCGUGCUCCCGUGCCUCCGCUGGUGUCGAAGGCUUUGAAAUAAAACCAUAAAACAGAUGGCGUGAGAACUAUUAAAUAAUAGUUCCCAGUGGGCAAUUACUGACUUCAGUGAAAUGCGCCACUAGGCCCAAAAGCUACAAAAGAGGGUCUGUACAAGUACAAACGAAAGCGAAAUAAUGAAUAAGUAUGUAACCAUGAGUACUAUUCUACCAUGAUAUCUCUACUUAGCAUGAACUGCAUAAGUAAUAAAGCAACUACAACAAGUAUGUACAUGAAUGUGACUAACAUGUAUAGGCAUGAGUAUGCAACCAACAUAAUGCCCUCGAUGCAAAUAGUAAAGAUGUCAUUAUUUACUAUUCUAGUCAAUGUCCACUUGUCACUUUAACUGUUAAAAGUUUAAUCUUAUAAGAUCCACCCGAAGGCUGUCUGGCAUGAAGACCCACCCGAAGGCUGUCUGGCCUGUAAGACCCACCCGUAGGCUGUCUGGCCGGUGUCGUGCCUAAUGGCCGCGUGGUAGUCAACAUCCCCACUCUUAGGAAUGAGCCUUUCUCACGGCAAUCCACUUCGGCGCCCAAUCCUGCACGGCGAAUAUGUAUCGCGAUAGCUAACUCCGAAGUGCCGGCUUGUAGGGAGCGACCCUCACAAGCAUGUGCGAAUGAGCACAAUGGCAAGCAUGCGUAUAAGUCUGUCUCAAGUCUCAAGUCCCCAUGUCUAUGAACAUGGAAUGUAUCGAAUGUCACAAAGGCCUAUCACUAUGUCAUUAUGUCUCUAACAUGGAAUAUAGUCGAUGUCCAAUGGCCUAUCACUAUGUCUCUAUGUUGCAUUUUCAUAGUUUACUAGUUUCAAGUGCCCCUUUAUGACACUUUUGUUCAACGAGUCCAAACAUGAUAAUUAUGUUCAUGAAUACAUAAUUCUAACCAUUUCUAGCAUAAGAGAUAUGUUCUCACCUUGAAAAGAUGCACAUCUUUCACAUGCAUACAGUCUACACAUAUAGCUCUACUAUAUAGAGUGAUAUUUAUCUUACAUAUAGCACAUGCAUUUCAAGGGUUCUAAAAUUUUCGUAAAUCCUAUCUAGCAUGGAUUUACAUUCAAAAAGACUUUACGACGAGUAUGCAAUGCAUAGGGGCCAUUUUGCCUCGUUUCCAUGAAGUCAAACCCACCGUAGGUACCGAAACCCUUCGUAAGCUCCGACGAAGGUGUCCACUAGCCUCCUAGCACCCUAAAGAUGUAGGAACAAGAAUUACACAAUCAAAACGAACAUCGAAAGCUUAAACUUUAACCAUCUAAGCAUAGAGGGCAUAACUCACCUCUUGUGAUCAAAUCCCUUCCCAAGCUUUCAAAGAGAGCAAGAACCUUUCCAACCCAACCUAGAGGAAGAUUAUAAACCCAUCAAUUACGUCUCUAAGCCCUCAAAUCAAAAAUCCCAAAAUAAACCCUAAAUCUCAAAUUUAGGGUUUCAUCUCCCAAAAUCUACCAAAAAUAGGUCUAGAGGGGAGAAACAAGCAACUAACCUCAAGAGAAGAUCCAAACCAAGCUCCAAAUACUCUAGGGUUGAAGAUUGAUCCUCUAUCAAGCUCCUAGCCCAAGCCCCAAGCCUCCAAUGGUGAGCAAAAAGGAGAGGAAGAUGCUCCAAGCCUCAAGAUCUUGCUCUUCUUCAACUUCUUCUUCUUCUUCUCCUUCUUCUCUUUCUCUUUCUCUCUCUAGAGUGAGUGUGAGGGAGUGAAAUGAGGGUGAGAGGGAGAGGAACGGCUCUAUAAGCCUUCAAAUGUAACAAAAUCCAUCUAGGUCCCUCUAAAAUACAACCUGUGUACUGCCCGGUCUGGGCAGUUUUUGUGCUGAGGGACCGGUCUCCCCGACACCUAGGACCGGUCUCUCAGCCUGUCCCGCAAAACCAAAGUUCGGGAACCGGUCUCUCCCCGCAUGGGACCGGUGUCACGCCCCCGCCCCGAGGCCGCUACCGAUUUGGCACGGUUCGGGAGCGGCGAACGGACGCCGAACGGACAGCACCUCCCCUGUCCGCCCAAGGCUAAACAACGAGAUCAUGUACAACAAGUCCCCAGAAAAUCAACUUGAAUACAUACAUGAUCAUGCAACAACAGCGAGAGCACAAACAGUGCUGAACAUUACAAGAGCAAGCGUCACAAGUAGAAGACAUACAAGUGAAACAAAAGAGAGAUACUUAACUAUUCUAUUACAACCAUUCAGCUCGAUACAUUUAAUUACAACUUGCAUUCUUUUCCAAACUAUGAAUAUAAGCUUACAUUCUUCAAAAGAUAAACAUUAGUUUACAUUUAUCUCAAAAUACCUCACAUCCUAUACAUCAUCUACUCUCAAUACAUGUAUAGGGUAACUCUAAUGCAAAAUAGGAAAGUAAACUAUCAACUAGCACUAGGGCGCUAAGCCCAUAACGCGAUCCUCUGCCGAUCCGCUCUCGUGUGUACCUGUACCCCAAAACCACACGGGGUGAGAACUAUAUAAAUAUAGUUCCCAGUGGGUUCGGCCGCCGACUCCGCCGAUCUUCCCACUAGGUCCAAGCUGGCACAGAUAGAUAGAUAGAAAGAUAUAUGGAAAUACUACUACUAUAUCUACUAUGCCAUCAAAUGCAAAGUAUGCAUGGAACAUCAUCUAGCAACAAUCUACUAUCAUGCUAAUAUGCCUCAACAGUGAAAUAAAUACAACAACAACAUAGUUAUGCAAUGCACUAUGUCUAAUCAAGGUAUGAAUGCAAUACUCUUAUGCUAUUCAUGUUAUUACCCAAUCCGCUAGGCUAACUUGCCUAAGAUCUCAAAUCUAGUAGGUGAAGAGCUACCUCACUCUUGUCUCACUCGACUCAUAUCUCAAGGGUCUGACCCAAUCUCGUGAGUCCCAGGCAAAGAGCUACCCCGCCCCUCGCCCGACUCACAUCUCAAGGUCCUAGGCAAAGGCUACCCCGCACUUUGCCCGACUCACAUCUCGACCUACUAGGUACAGGGCUACUCCACUCAAAUCUCAUAGGUGAACAACAACAACAACUAUGGAAGCAAGCUAUCAUGAACAACAAUAAUGAGUAUGACUCAAUAGGUACUCAAAUCUCAUAGGUGAAGGAAUAGUAUAUCAUGAAGGCAUGAGCAAUAAGUAAGCUACUAUGAACACUAGUAAGCUACUAUGAACAACAACAACAACUAUGGAAGCAAGCUAUCAUGAACAACAAUAAUGAGUAUGACUCAAUAGGUAACCAAAUCUCAUGGUGAACACAAGGUUCACAAGCAAGGCUCACAUAUCAAUCUCCGAGGGAUGCCUAGCUGGACUAUCCCCGAGUACGCCUGCGGAUAACAAGCGGCUAUCCGAGCAGCAAGCAGGGCUGCCUCUCUAGUGACCAAUCUCCGGAGCGCACAACCUGGGGGGAGCGACCCCACCAAGCGCAGACAGGCAAUGUGAGCGUGAUCAUCUCACGAGCAACAGCAACCUACCCUCUAAGGGUAAUCUCAUCAUGGAAUCAAGGUGUUCUUGUACCCAAUCUCAUAGUGUUUCAACUACACUAAGGUUCUCAUGUCAAGGUUAUCAACAAUCAUAUGCCACUCAUCAUAGUUUUCUAAACUAGAUGCCACUCGUCAUUUAGACUCAUUUCAACACUAGUUACAUCAUACUAGUUCUUUAGCAACAUAAGCAUUAAUCAUCUCACAUAGGGUCUAGGUCUUUAUUAUAGAGUUUUCAUCAUAUAAUCAUCAUGCAUACUAGAUCAUGGAUCAAUCAUCAAGAUGUAUAGCUACUAGCAUGCAAAUAUGAGCAAUGACCACAAUCAUUUAGCAUCUAAAUGCAAUGAAUACGAUAUGCAACUUAAUCGAUUAAUGCAUUCAACAAAGUUUAGAUUAAUGCAUUCAACAAAGUUUAAUCCACAUAAUCAUGCCCUUAUAGGGUUUCACCACACUAAGUCCCAAUCUCAUGCAUACUAGGUACAAGUAUUAAUCAAGUAACACUACACUCCCACUAGCAUGCCAUGACAUGUAACAAUUGCCAACUAGUACCCUAUAAUGCAAUAUCCCAAUAUGCAACUUGAUCAAUGUUAACUAGAGUUUCUAGUACAACAACCAAUCCAUUACUAGUUCAAGUCAUAUGUGUUUUUAGCACAAUAAGUUCAAUGCCACUUGUAAACUAUGUCUUUAAACACAACACUAGGUUCUUCUCUCAUUUAGCAUCAUAGGUUUACCAAUGUCAUCUCAUAAUCCUUAUGUCCAUUACAUCAUAUAUCCAUAUCAUAAUACUAUAUUGAUCAUAAACAUCAUAUAAGGAUUAGGAAUGCAUGUAUUGUCAUCCUAUAAUGCAUAGCAACAUACAAUAUGCUACAUGUGAACGGAUAAGCACUAAGACAUAGGAAGAAGCCCGAUGACUUCGGGAUGGCACUCCCCCACCUUUUAUCGCGUUCCGAUUGCUUGUCGUCACUUGCAAUCGGCCUCCCGCGGCGCACGCCGCUCGGCUUGACCCAAUCCGCGCGCGACCACCAAACGACCUCCGAUCCGCAAUCCGAAAAUUAAAGGUCUUCGGUUUCUUGGUACGAUGCUUCAAAUCCGUUUUCAGGAUUUUACGACGUCGCCUCGGCCCUCCAGGCGGAAACGAAGCCUAACGUCCGUUUCUUUAAUAACUUUGUACCGGCUCGACGAAUCGCCGAACCGUCGCUUCCAACGCGUUCGUAGACCUAGCAAUUAGGUAAACAGAGGGUUAAAAGAGAUCAAACCCAACAAUUUUGAAAGUUAGCAUUUUGAGCCCUAGGUUUACAACUAUGCAAGAAAUCAUUAAAUUGCUCUAUGAUUCAAGCAUUAACCAUCUAUUAGGCAUCAAUGGGUUCCACUAAAACCAUUUCCAAAGCAUUUAGACCUAUCUUUAGAGAUCUACCAUUAAAGCCCUCAUUUUGGAGCUCUAUGUUGCAAUAGGUAAAAAUCCACCAUUAGAACUUAGGAUCUAAGCAUAAAUCAUCUACUUAGCAUCUAGGAAAGCUACUAAUUCGUUUCUAGAGCUUAAAACCCAAGCAAUAGAGAAAUGCCAUUAAAGCUCUUAAAGCUUACCUUCAAAGCAUGCUCCAAUGGAGAGGAAGAAGAUGAAGUUGAUGAAGAUCAACUUCCAAGCUUACUUCUCCACCAAAUCCAUCCAUUUUGGGAGAGAUUUAGAGAGAGAAAAUGGAGGCUUCUCUUUCUCCCUCUUUCCAUGCGUGUGUGUGUGUGGCGUGUGCGUGUGUGGUGUGCGGCCGAAGGAGAAGAAGAAGCAUCAGCUUCUUCAUAAUACCCCUCAAACACUAUUCAUCCAGGCAACUUAAAAUCUGAUAACUUUCGCCGGAGCUCCCUGAAUGUCCGUUUGAGCUCAAACUUGACAGUCAUGUUCGGUUUUACUUAACUUAACAAGCUGACGAUCACUGGUUCAGUUUCGACCCCGUUUGGUCACUGAAAACUGUACCGAACUGCAAUCUUUAUCAGAUAGCUUUCGGAUUUUAUUUCUCACUCUACGGGUGUCAGAAAAAUAUGAAACCUUAAAUCUAGCCUCAUAAAAAUAUUUCUGACAUCUCUGCCAAUUUUCAUAAUUUUCUGAGACUGUGCAUUUUCUGCUAAUUUAUCUGUCCCGUUUCUCACAGAAAAUUCUAAAUCUUCUGUUUUCGCUCUGAUUUCAGCACAGGUCAUUCCCAACCUAUAUUUCACUUCUCUAAAUCCAAUAAAAAUAGUAUCUCAUACUAUUUUUAUUUAUUUUUAUUUUUAUAUUUAAAUCCGGUAUAUUACAUUACACCGCAACCUCACCGGAACCAUUCAAAUGGCUCUCCAACCAAAUGGACACCGUAACCUCAUGAUUUUAGAAGUCCGGUACCUUACAACCGGUCUCUCUCCGCAUAAUCGCGCUCGGGUUCCGGUCUCACCCGCUAGGGACCGGUUGCCUCAAGUUCUGCCGCAACACUAUUCUUAGGGGACCGGUCUCUCCUAUCAGGGACCAGUCCCCGAGAGUGAAAACUCGGAGAACUUGCCAAAACUCUAGAGAUCGAACUUUUAGGCCGGAAUACCAUCUACGACCUUCCACCAAAUGUGGAAAAGUUCGAAAUACAUAUCAAACACUCAAACCUCGCAAUUUGCAAAGGUCCAGUGUGCUACAGAAAUCCACCUAUCCCUAUGUUCAAUGCCGUAAUGUCAACUACACUAAAUUCUCAUGCAAUAAGCCACAACGAGGGAAACUCACCUAUUCCCUAUGCUCAAUGCCAUAAGUGUUUCUUUACACUAUGUUCAAAUGCCACUCACCUAGGUUUAAUCAACCAUAGGUUCAACACUUUUAUCACAUAACCUAGAUUUAACUAACUCUAGAUUCAAUCCUCAACUUAUGUUCCUCAACUAGGUUUAAUGUCAUUCUACCUAGGUCUAACUGACUCUAGGUUCAUUCUCAACCUAUGUUUCAAUGUCAAGCUAUGUUUAACAACACUAGGUUCAUAUGUCAUUCUUAUCCAUCCUAGGUUCACAACACUAGGUUCAUAUCCGACCUAUGUUCGAUAACACUAGGUUCGAUGCCACUCGAUCUAUUCGACACCUAAUUGUCCACAUCGAGUUUCUAUAAUUACAUAUUCUCUAGCAAUUGCCCACAAUACCAACAUGCAUCUCAUCUAACAUAACAACUAUAUGUUAAUAUGCAUGCUCUCUAUCAUGAUCUCAUGAUGCUACUAUGCACCUAGCAUAUAAUCCACAAUGCAUAUAUAUUCAACAUUAUGUCCCAAUACCUUUAUCAUCUUAGCAUAUUCUAUUUACAUGCCUUAACACGUUCAUGAUGCCAUCUUGCACCUAUUCCAAUCAAGCUAACAUGCAUAUAUAUUCAUCCAAGGUAGCUAUUACAUAGUAUCUCAUGCAUUCACCCUAAGCAUUCACCUAUGCAAUCAACUACUAUUACAUAUAUAUAUGCAUCAACAAGAAAGCACAUUUCUCUUCAACAUGCAGGCAACCUAGUCGCUUUGGUAAGUAUUAAGGAUUUUAUAGGUUGACGGAUUUCGUAGAGUUGAAUGGAGUCUUGAAGAGUUGAUCGCGGAAGUUUGAAGAAAAGAUUCAAAUUGAAGAAUAAAGACUCAUUCGGAAAGCUCGGCACUUCAGGUAUGAAGAAUAGAUGAUUUAUAGUGAAGAUGUUUAAUUAUAAUAAGUUCAGAAGGCUUAGAUUGCUUUAAAUCUCUUUUACUGAACUUUUAUGUGUUCUGGGACCGGUCCCUGAGUUGAAGAGACCGGUUCCCUUAAGGUCCUCACUGCGUGAAUGUUGAGGCAACCGGUCCCCUGAGAUGAGAGACCGGUUCCCAAACAUUGGUAGUUUUGUCACGCAGCGAGGGACCGGUCUCUGGCUUGAGAGACCGGUUCCCGAACGUUGUGAUUUUUGUCACGCAGCGAGGGACCGGUCUCUCACAGACCGGUCUCCUCGAGAGGACCGGUCUCUGGGGACGACACAUGUUUUUAAAAAUGACUUUUUGCAAUCCUAGUCUACUUCUAAGUUUUCUAAACAUAUAAAUAAGCUAUGGGGGUCAUCUUAAAGUUUAAGGCUUUGAAUUUUUACUCAUUCUAAACCCCAGAAACUUGGUUUUUCCGUUCUUAUGGUUCUAUUCUAAAUAACAAGUUUCUAAUAAUCAACAUCGACUUGAUUCUUUGUUUUUACUCGUGAUCUUAUACGAGAAUCAAGUAGAUGAUUGAUUAAAAGAUAGACCCUCAUCGCUUAUGGGAUUCUAAAGCUUAAUCACCACAAAUCUUCUAUUUUACAAGCUCCGGAAGGAGAUUCGGCGCGUGGAUCUCGCCUGUAGCCGAGGAUUCGGUGGACGCUUCAAGGAGUUGAGGCGUUGACGCUGCGAGGAGUUGCGGCGAGGUCGAUUGGAGGAUUCCUAUCGAUCGAGGACCGGCGAAGAUCACCAUCAACAGGAAAUCGGUAAAUUGAGUCGUGUAUUUUUGUCAAAAUCAGUUGUAUUCAAGUUUUCUUAGUGGAUUUUCUUCGUGUGGUCGGUCCCGUGGGUUUUUCACUCCGGCUUGGAGUUUUUCCACGUUAAAUUCUCAGUGUGCUGUUUUUUAUUUUCCGCUAUUCAUUUUAUUUGCAUCGAGAUUUUUGAGUUUGCCGUUUUUACACCUAUUCACCCCCCUCUAGGUGUUACUUACCUUUUAGAUUCUCGAGAUCCAUAUCUUACAAGUGGUAUCAGAGCAAGUAUAGGUUGUAAUUCAUGCCAGAGGGCGGUAACAUCAAUCGACCCCCUCUCUUCGAUGGCACUAAUUAUGCUUAUUGGAAAGUCCGUAUGAGGGCGUUUCUUAUUGCCAUCGAUGAGCGGGUAUGACAAGCCAUUGAAUUCGGGUGGAAACAUCCUACCGAAGUUGUCAAGAAAGUUACCGGUCCGAAACUGAGAAAUAAGUGGACGAAAGUGGAAAACGAAUUACCUUCGUUCAACGGAAAGGGUAUCAAUGCUUUAUUUAAUGCUUUAAAUCAAACUAAAUUUUCUUGUGUCUCGGCGUGUGAAACCGCUAAAAAAAUUUGGGACACUUUACAAGUUACGCACGAGGGUACAAGCUUGGUAAAGAUUCAAAAAUUGCAAAUGCUUACUAGUAGAUUUAAUUCUAUCCAUAUGGAAGAACAUAAAUCUUUUACCGAGUAUUAUACUCGUUUGCAAGACAUUGUAAACACGUGUGCUAACUUGUGCGAGAAAAUUCUCGACUCCAAAAUUGUUCGAAAAAUUUUGAGGACCCUUCCCGAAUGAUUUCGUCCUAAGGUUGCGGCUAUUGAAACGGUUAAACAUCCGGAUGAACUCAAGGUAGAAGAAUUAGUAGGUGCUCUUCAAACUUAUGAGAUGACUUUUCCUUCUAAUUCGUCUUCUUCCAAGUCUUCUUCUAAAGCUUCAGGGAUGGCUCUAAAAUCAACAAAAGGAGAUGUCACUUCAACUUCAUCGGACUCGGAGUCGGAGCAAACCCUAGAGGACUUUGAAAAGCAACUAGCACUUCUAACAAAGAAGUUUCGUCGGAACUUUAGAAAAAAGUUUCCUCCCAAGUCUACUUCUUCCAAGUCAAGUAAAUCUAAAGGGAGUUCAGUUCGUCUUCGUCUUCAUCAAAAUUCAGAAAAUUGGAAAACCCUCAAAAGGACUCUACUAAAGAGAAGAAAAGCAGUGAAGCCCAAAUUCAAUACUAUAAAUGUAGGGGUUUUGGCCAUAUUGCAUCGGACUGUCCAAAUAAAAAGUCUUUGAAGAAGAAAGCGAUGCAGGCUAUUACUUGGGAUGACUCCUCUUCUGACGAUUCAACUUCCAGUGAUGAGGAUGUCAAUGCCACGGCACUGAUAACACAGGAUUCAACCUUCAUGUGUUUGGCAUCUGCAGAUUCUCUCUCAAUGUCGUCUAUACAUGAAAAAUCUUCUUCGGAGAAAUCAUCGGAUGAAGAAUCGGACAAAGAUGACAUGGUCGCAGCAUAUCAUCAAUUGGUAAUCGAAUCAAAGAAGGUGGCAAAACAUAACAAGAGGCUGCGGCGGAGUCUACAUGAGUUGGAACAAGAAAAUUUGAGGUUGGUCUCAUUAUCAAAGGAUCUAGAACAAGAAAGAGAUGGUUUGACUGAGGCCUACAACUCUUUAUUUGAGAAGUGUUCGUUACUUGAAAAGGAAAAAGAGACUCAUGUUGAAAACAUCGAUUUUCUCACCAAGCAAUACUCGGAAGCUAGAGAAGCAAAUAUGGAAUUCACCAAGACAAUCAUUCAAUUAAAGUCGGAUUUGAACCAAUUUUCGUCUGGCUCGAGCAAACUUGACAAGAUGCUUGGACUUGGUCAAACAAAUAAACUUGGACUUGGGUACGAACGGACGUAUAUUGAUCAAGCAACGAAGAAAGAUGAUGAACAUUCGUCAAAAACAGUUCCUAAGCUUUAUGGUAAGUUCGUCCCUCCUAAAAACAAUUUGACUAACAAAACUUGUCAUAUUUGUGGUGUUUUAGGACACAUAAAGAAAUUUUGCAAACAAAAGGGAAAGAGCUCAACAACACCCUUGAACCAAAGAACAUCACCCAUGAAGAAUGAUCCUAUAUCAAAAGGGAAGUCAACUUGGACUCCAAAGAAGGUUGAUCAUAAGAAGAAACAAACAUGGACACCAAAUGCGCCGAAAUCAAAGGCAAAACAAGCAUGGAAACCAAAGAAGGAGGAUAUGAAGAAGAAGUCAAUUCAAAUCGUCGACAAGCCAACAUCAACAAAAGCAAGCAAACCGUCGCAACCCAAAACACGUAAGGUUUGGGUGCGCAAAGGUGAACUCUUCCCAUGCCUAGUCAUUCACACUUCGCUUCAUGCUUACGAUAAUACUUCAUGGUAUCUGGAUAGUGGUUGUUCCCGUCACAUGACCAGAGAUAAAAAUUGGUUUACUUCUUUGAACAAAAUCUCCGGAGGACUUGUUGUUUUUGGAGACGGUCGGUCGUCAAAAAUCGUUGGAAAAGGAACAGUGACUAUCUCAGAUGGCCCUACUUUGAAUGAUGUUUUCUAUGUUGAGGGGCUUAAAUCUAAUCUCGUAAGCAUAAACCAACUGUGUGAUGAUGGGUAUUCUGUGACUUUUUUCGAUAAAGAAUGUCAUGUGACUCGUGAUGACAAUCUGUUCUUGAAGGGCAUUAGAUCUCAGAAUAACUGUUAUGUAGUUCCUAAUUCUUCGACUGAACAUUGUAACCUAGCGUCAUUAGAGACUGAAACUUUAUGGCAUGAACGACUAGGUCACAUAAAUUUUAAGGAGCUAUCCAAGAUAACAAAGAAGGAGGUUGUUAGAGGUGUACCUAAGAUAGACUUCAAAGAGAACACUGUGUGUGGGGGUUGUCAAUUAGGGAAAAAAACUAGAUCCGCACAUAAGAAUUUGAACCACUUAGGGACAUCUAAGCCUUUAGAGUUAUUUCACAUGGACUUAAUAGGACCAUCUAGGAUCCAAAGUUUGGGUGGAAAACGAUAUAUCUUGCUUAUUGUUGAUGAUUUUACUCGUUUUGUAUGAAGUGCCUUCUUACGAGAAAAGCUGAUACUUUUGAUUCUUUUUCUUAAAUCUGUCUUCGUCUUAUGAUUGAAUGGAGUAAUAAAAUUGUACGUAUUCGAAGUGAUCAAGGGGGAGAAUUCAUAAAUUCAAAAUUUGUUGAUUUCUGUGUUUCAAAUGGCAUAAAACAUGAAUUCUCGGCUUCUUAUACACCCCAACAAAACGGAGUGGUUGAACACAAGAAUCGGGUUGUACAGGAGAUGGCUCGUGUUAUGCUUCAUAGUAAGAAAAUCGCUUUACACUUUUGGGCCGAAGCAGUUAACACGGCUGUCUAUGUUAUCAAUCGAAUUUAUGUGCGCCCGAGUACUUUGAAUACUCUGUAUGAACUUUGGCUUGGUAGGAAACCUAAUAUUAAAUACUUUCGUGUCUUCGGGAGUAAAUAUUUUAUCCUUCGGGAUCGUGAAAAUCUUGAAAAAUUUGACUCUCGAAGUGACGAAGGGAUUUUUCUUGGUUAUUCUACUACAAGUCGUGCUUAUCGUGCAUACAAUUUACGAUCUAAGACGGUGAUAGAAUCUAUCAAUAUAAAAGUAGAUGAAGCUUCUUCUGUAAGUUCUUCUGUGAAUGGUUCUUCUACUUCUUUGGUGAAUGAUGAUGAUAAUGAUUCUCCGUUUAUAUUGCCUGUGAAUGAUGAUGUUUCUGCACUUGACAAUUCUAUUGCAUCUUCUGAAAAUGUUGCAUCAAAUGAUUCAUCUGAGCCUCAAAGCACGUCAUCUGAAAUCCCUAGUAUAACUUCUGAGACUACACCCCUGACAGAGUCAAGAGAUCAUCCUUUAUCGAAUGUCAUUGGGGAUCCUAAUGUUGGUGUGCGAACAAGAAGUCAGCUAUAAUGUGAAUUUGCAUGUUAUGUUUCUCUGAUUGAGCCAAAGAAUAUUGACGAAGCUCUACGUGAUGAAUAUUGGAUAAAUGCCAUGCAAGAAAAACUUGGUAAAUUCGUUCGCAAUGAUGUAUGGGAAUUAGUGCCGCAUCCUGAGCAACAACACAUAAUAGGUACCAAAUGGAUCUUUAAGAAUAAGAAAAAUGAGGAUGGUACUAUUGUUCGGAACAAAGCGAGACUUGUUGCUCAGGGCUACUCGCAAAUUGAGGGAAUAGACUUUGAUGAAACCUUCGCCCCAGUUGCCCGUCUUGAAUCAAUUCGUAUUUUGUUCGCGAUUACUUGCCAUUUUAAAAUCACUUUUUUUCAAAUGGAUGUUAAAAGUGCAUUUCUAAACGGAUUUUUAAAAGAGGAAGUUUAUGUUGAACAACCGAAAGGUUUCAUAGACUCAAAAUUUUCAAAUCACGUUUUUCGACUGAAAAAGACACUUUAUGGACUAAAGCAGCCUCCGCGAGCAUGGUACGAGCGCUUGACAAAAUAUCUUUUGGAAAAGGGCUACAACCGAGGGGGAGCGGAUGGAACUCACUUUGUAAAACGCUUAAAGAAUGAUUUCAUUGUGGCACAAAUUUAUGUUGAUGACAUAGUCUUUGGGGCAACUAAAGAUAAGGAUGCCAAUGAUUUUGCAAAAUUGAUGACAAGCGAGUUUGAAAUGUCGAUGAUGGGGGAGCUUAAUUAUUUCCUUGGACUUCAAGUUAAACAAACUAAAGAUGGAAUUCACUUGUGUCAAUCCAAAUAUGCGAAAGAUUUGGUUAAGAAAUUUGAAUUGGACAGUGCAAAGAAUUUUGACACUCCGAUGGGUACAAGUAAGAAGGGACUUGGGGUGAAUUCGGAAGGAAAGAGCGUGGAUGAGAAACAAUACAGAAGCAUGAUUGGAAGCCUAUUGUACUUAAUUGCGAGCAGACCAGAUAUUGCUUUUAGUGUUGGAUCAAAAACGUUUUCUGCAUUUAAGAAAGGCUAUUGGUAUGAAUCCUUCAAUCUAGAUAUAUUCUAUUGGGCCAUAGAUCAUGUGCAUGUUAAAUUUUGUUUAUGUGCAUGGUUUCCGAUUAUGGUUGAGAGAUGAUUAAAUUUCUUGAAUAAUGUUGCUGUUUUUGGGAGAUGAUUUGGUCAGUGUUAGCUCAGUUGUUUGAUUUUAAUUGUUUCAUAUUUAGUUUUUGAUUGAUCACUGUCAAGGUUGUUCUCUAUUGUCAUAAUUUUUGAAUGAUCAAAUCAUUGAAAUUCUGUUUAGCAUACUGAAUCAAAUUCAACACCUCAUACUUCGAACUUUGAAUGUUGCAAUUGUUUGUUUGAUUAUUAGUUAUGAGAUGAAUAACUCUUUCUUUGUUUUUGAAAUUGCAAUAAUAUUUUUGACUUGAGGGUUGCACUAAUUUAGGGGGAGUCUUUCCGAUUUUGGAUAUGAAAGUUUCUGAAAUUCAAGAUGUGGAAAGAGUUACAUCCCUGCUGGGAGUGUGAAAACUACCACCACAUGGAGGAAAGAGUUACCACCCCGGUCGUCCGGUCAGUGUGUGCAGCUACCACAUGUUGAUUAAAGUAUCUCUAUAAGACAAAAGGAAAGUACCUUUCAGAGAAAAAAAAAAUUUUGCUCAAAGAGCUAUACAUCUCGUAGGUGAUAUAAGGUGGUAUAUUAUUUAAAAAAAAAAAAAAAGAAAGAAGAUGCUCAAAGAGCCACUCCUGUCUCGAAUAUUGUGCAUAACUCAAUUUGAACAUAUUAUUUUAAUUUCACGAUUCUGAGAAUUAUUUAUACAUUUUCUUUAACAAAUAUGAUGAUAGAACGAUACAAUUAAUUUCUAGAUCUUGCAUGAUGUGUAGAAUUUUAUUUUAUAUGUAUCUAGAAUUUUCAUUGAUUUUCGGGUCAACAAUUUUGACAAUUUGAAUAUCCUUGAAAUUGAUUUUUCAAAAUUUAUUUAUGAAAUUUUAUUUGAAGUUUUUGGGGAUGAAAAUUGGUUAUUUUUGUUGAUUGAACAUUGUGGAAUAACAUACAUUUUUGCUGAAAUUUUUGGAGCUUAAUUUAAAAUUUUUUAAAAAUUCUAGGCUCUGGGACCAGUCCCAGGCAGGAGAGACCGGUCCUUCCGCCCGACCCGAUAAAGGGGUUUUUGUUCGAUGUGUCUUGUACGCAUUUCAACCUUUUCCCUGCUUCUUCUCUUGCGUUUCUCUUGCCUCCAGAUUGGUUUUUUACUCACGUUCCUCGUGGAUUUGUACUGAUUUUAGGUAUGAUUUUCGAAUUUUGUUGCAUUUUUAUCAUAUACUCCGAAAAUGUGUUUUGUUUCAGAUUUUUUGGUGUUUCUUCUAAAGAUCUAGCUAAAUCUGCCUUAAUGUGCUUUGAUCUUGUUCUUAGACCUGUUGUUUCCAUAUUCUUUUGUAUUUCUUCAUCUUUUUGGUCAAUUCUUGUAGGUUUUUCAUCAUCAAAACCUAGUUUUUCUAAAAUUUUUGUGGACAAUUUGUUUUUGCUGAUUUUGAUGCAUGAUUUGUUUUGGUUUCUCAUGAAUAUGUGGCCCCUAGGAUUAUCUAGCAUUUAUAUAUCAAUUUGCUGAAAUUUUUUUUGGAAUCAAAAAUUAAGUGUUCUUAUGUUUCAUAUGUAAAAAUCCUUAUGUUUAACAGGGGAUUUCUUCAAAAUGUAUUCAUGGUUACUUGUGCUUGUGGUUCUGAUGGCCGGGGGUGGUCGCAGAAGCAAACGACAGCGCUCUUCGGGUAAACGGCCAAUUGAGCAACAACCGGAAGAUGAAGGGAGCGAAUAUGCUCCUGGCGACGAAUCUGAGGAGGACGAGCCGGACUGGGAGGCUUUUACUCCAGAGGUGUUGGCUAAGGAUAAGGAUGCAAGAAAAGGAAAGGACAAAGGAAAAGCCAUUGAUAAAGGGAAAGGCAAAGCCAUGGAUAAAGGAAAAGGAAAGGCAUCUGGAUAUACCGAUCGUCGAAAAUCUGGAGGUGUUGAGAUUAGAGAACCGGGUUCUGAGGCUCCGCGUCUCAGUCUGCAAGAUGUUCCGUUUGCUCGAAGGUCAAUGUACUCGUCGAAACAUUGUAUUGGUGAGCGCGAUGUUGGCGUUGCCAGUAUCAUUGACUGUAUGCCGGGAUUUCAGGAUUUAUUUGAAAAAAAAAAAAUCUUCAUCAGAUUUGUAAUUUUCCGGAACAAACUGGUUUCUGUUUGGAGCUAAUUAGAGAGCUCUAUAUGAGAGCAGGUCACUUGAGUGACUCAGACGGUGGUCCGUAUCUAUUUACUACUUUUGUCCGUGGGGUUGAGCUGUCGAUCACUCCCGAUACUAUAGCGUCUGUGCUAGGAAUGGAAGCAAGGACUGAAGGCGUGAAGUAUCUACAGGCCGGGUUUGACUCACUUCGGGAUUGGAACCGUGUCGUGAACUCUAUUUGCAUGCCGGGAACAGAGUCAAACGGAAUUAUGGUUUUAUCCAAGGAUUUCAAAAUGGAGUACAGGUUCUUGAACUUCGUGGUUUGCUACAACAUUUUGCCUCUCGCAAACACGAAGAUUUUGAGAUGGGAUCGCAUCUUGUACAUGUAUCUAUUGGCUAGGUCGGAUAUUGUAAGUGCGAAAAAUAUCAACAUGAAUAUCCCAUUUUUGAUCUUGCGGAGAAUGGCAAAGGAUAUCAAAACUUCAGGACAGAAUGAAAGAUUGCCAUUUCCACUGAUUAUCAUGCGAAUUCUGCGACUCCAUGAGGUGGAUGUUCGUUGUACAUCCUAUGAGCAUAGCUUGGGAAGGAUCAAUGAAAGGACGUUCGUGAAGUCCUCUGUGCAGCUUCGAACUCCGUCCCAGCGUGCUUCUUCACCUCCUGCUGCUCCACCUCCUGCUGCUCCUACUUCUUCCCGUCCUUCCAUGGAUAUUUCUGAGGAGGAUGUCUCGGUAUCGCUAGUAUAUCGUGAGCAACAGAGGUUAUCUGAAGAGCUUCAAAAGCUUUCUGUGAUCAAGCUCAGAUACGGAAAGAUGUGAGCAAAAUCAAGCGACUGAUGAAGGCUAUCUUUGACAAAUUAGGAUGUUGCAGCUCAGAUAUUCCUCCAUAGGGUGACGAAUCUGACUGACUGUGUGGGGUUCCUCCUUUUGUCAUUUUGGCGCUUUCUGACAAAAAGGGGGAGAUGAUAUGUUGGCUCAUGAUGAUGAUGAUGUCUGAUGAUGAUGAUGCUAUGAUGAUGUCUGAUGAUGAUGAUGCUUUUAGAUGAUGAUGAUGUUUUUUUUUUAUGCUUUUAGCUUAGUUGUGUAAAUUUAGAUUAGAUGGUUGCUUGGAUGAACUAUGAACUAUGACUUGUUGCUUUGAUUGCUUUGACGUUUAUGUUUGAUCUUUUAUGAUAAGUUUGCUUGAAUCUUGAUUGUGUUUUAAGAAUGUUUUUGCAGUAAUUGUUCAAGACUUCAAGACUCCAUGUCUAAGUCAUAGAGUAUGUAUUAAGGUUGUGAAAAAUAUAAUUUUCGUUUAUUGGAUCGAUCAUACAGGAGAUUAUCGUUUCGUGAUUGCGAUGAUCUUCUUUUUAUUGUUUCUAAGUUGUGUACGAGCUUUGUAGUAUAUUUUGUCACGAAAUCGCCAAAGGGGGAGAUUGUUAAGGAUUUUAUAGGUUGGCGGAUUUCGUAGAGUUGAAUGGAGUCUUGAAGAGUUGAUCGCGGAAGUUUGAAGAAAAGAUUCAAAUUGAAGAACAAAGACUCAUUCGGAAAGCUCGGCACUUCAGGUAUGAAGAAUAGAUGAUUUAUGGUGAAGAUGUUUAAUUGUAAUAAGUUCAGAAGGCUUAGAUUGCUUUAAAUCUCUUUUACUGAACUUUUAUGUGUUCUGGGACCGGUCCCUGAGUUGAAGAGACCGGUUCCCUUAAGGUCCUCACUACGUGAAUGUUGAGGCAACCGGUCCCCUGAGAUGAGAGACUGGUUCCCGAACAUUGGUAGUUCUGUCACGCAGCGAGGGACCGGUCUCUGACUUUAGAGACCGGUUCUCGAACGUUAUGAUUUUUGUCACGCAGCGAGGGACCGGUCUCUCACUUGUGAGACCGGUCUCUUACAGACCGGUCUCCUCGAGAGGACCGGUCUCUGAGGACGACACAUGUUUUUAAAAAGGACUUUUUGCAAUCCUAGUCUACUUCUAAGUCUUCUAACCAUAUAAAUAAGCUAUGGGGGUCAUCUUAAAGUUUAAGGCUUUGAAUUUUUACUCAUUCUAAACCCUAGAAACUUAUUUUUCCCGUUCUUAUGGUUCUAUUCUAAAUAACAAGUUUCUAAUAAUCAACAUCGACUUGAUUCUUUGUUUUUACUCGUGAUCUUAUACGAGAAUCAAGUAGAUGAUUGAUUAAAAGAUAGACCCUCAUCGCUUAUAGGAUUCUAAAGCUUAAUCACCACAAAUCUUCGAUUCUACAAGCUCCGGAAGGAGAUUCGGCGCGUGAAUCUCACGUGUAGCCGAGGAUUCGGUGGACGCUUCGAGGAGUUGAGGCGUUGACGCUGCGAGGAGUUGCGGCGAGGUCGAUUGGAGGAUUCCUAUCGAUCGAGGACCGGCGAAGAUCACCAUCAACAGGAAAUCGAUAAAUUGAGUCGUAUAUUUUUGUCAAAAUCACUUGUACUCAAGUUUUCUUAGUGGAUUUUCUUCGUGUGGUCGAUCCCGUGAGUUUUUCACUCCGGCUUGGAGUUUUUCCACGUUAAAUUCUCGGUGUGCUGUUUUUUAUUUUCCACUAUUUCGUUUUAUUUGCAUCGAGAUUUUUGAGUUUGCCGUUUUUACACAUAUUCACCCCCCUCUAAGUGUUACUUACCUUUUAGAUCCUCGAGAUCCAUAUCUUACAGUAAGCACAACCCACCUCGAUUCGCUCUCCGAUUGCUUGUCGACACUUGCAAUCGCCCUCCUACGGCACCCGAUACCUGGUUUGGCCUGAUCUUGCAGUUGCGCACCAACUGUGCGUCGAAUCGCGACUCCGAAAAUUAUAGGUCUACGGUUUACCGCCACGGUGAUCCAAAUCCGUUUUCACGAUUUUUGGACGUCGCAUCGACCCUCGAGGGGGAAACGAAGCUAAAUCGUCAGUUUCUUCAAUAUCUUUACAACGGCUCGACGAAUCAUCGAACCAACUUCGCCAACGCGUUCGUGUGCCUAGCAAUUAGGUUAACAGAGGGUCAAUUGAGAUCAAACCCUACUAUUUCUCAAAACUCCGUUUCGGAGCCCUAGAUGCCAUUAUUGCUAAAUACCCCAAAUCAAUCCAAGAUUUAGACAAUAAUCAUCUCAUUAGCAUCCUAGGAUUCCAAAAAUAUCAUUUCUAGAGAUCAAAUCCCAUAUUCUAGAGUUCUACCACUAAUGAGUAUCAAAGCUUACCUCAACUAAGCUUCUUCUCCAAGCAGAGGAAAAAGAAGAUGAUAGCAACCCUUCUUUAAGCUCCAAUCUCCACCCUUCUCCUCGUCUUGAUCCACCCCUUAGAGAGAGAAAGAGAGCUUAGAGAGAGAGAGAGGGGGAGUGUUUUUGGAUUUGCAAGGUGAGAGGGAGAGAGCAAAUGAGCUCUCUAUAGCUCAUAUACACUCACAUAAUACGCAAAAGUGCAAAUAAGUCCCUCAACUUUCAUUUUAGUGCACUGCCCCCGCGGGGCCAUUUUUUGUAUAAGGGAUCGGUCCCUGGACUUGAAGGACCAGUCCCCAUAGGUCCAGAAUUCCAACAUUUUUAGGACUUAGCCAAAUUUCAGCCUUUUUCGUUUCUUCUCCGUUUUCGCUCAUUUUCGCUCGUUUGGCCUCCGAUUCUUUUCAAAUCGAACCGAGACUCUCCAAACAUGUUUUCGAGUGUAUUUUCAUCAUCUUUUCAUUCGCGCUAAUACCGGAUUUAGUCCAUGGUCCAACGUAGCCUUUCGGGUCCCGUUUUCGCGCCUGCGCGCUCCGAAAACGCCCGAAUACUCCCGAACUUCACCAAACUUCACCGAAACUAUUCAAAUGGCUUUCCAACCAAAUGUAUACCAUAACUUCAUAAUUUUAGAAGUCCGGUACCUUACAUGUCCCCUCCCAGAGGGACCGGUCCUUGAGAGCACAAAACUUGCAAUUUGUGCAGAUUUUGCACAACUUGCUCUCGCGGGUCCUCCUCAAUGCACUUUAUGCAUUUUUGAUGACUUCGGCUUUUCCGAAGCACACCAAGUCGACAACAAGUCGAUUCUAAACGAAGUCUAACUCUCGGAUUUCGAGAAUUCACUUCCUUACAGAUACCUUCCUUAUGCAAUCGGUAUGUGAAUUCUGUUCCUGUUUGGAACCUCUUGAAUUGUACUGUUUGCGAUGCCUUGGACGUACAAGAGAGAAUCUGUCCAUUCGGCGAUCUGUCGACGCACCCGAAUCCGACCAAAGAGGCGGGUCUCGAUGCGUGACAUCACUUUACAAUAGUAGCUUCCUUGGUGAUUAUCGGUGGAUGUUAUUCAUUGUUAUCUUACCCGAUUUACUUGUUACUAUUACUGUUUACCCCUCCAUCUGUUGGUGGCUACAGCUUGCCUUCGUCGACUUGCGAUACCCACUGGGAUGGGGAGACUUGUUUAGAUGUUCUCACCCCUACCUUUUUCAAGUGAUGCGGAUGGGAUUGUUUGGGACAUAGCGUGAGGCAGUAGCUAGUGAACGGUUAUAGAGGUCUCGAUCUACGGUAUACCUUUUUGAUUACUUCAUACAUAGUAUCAGAUAGAUAUUAGUGGAUAGUAUAUAUCUUACCCUACACUGGUUAUUAUAUAUCUUCUUGUGGUUUAGUUGAUGGUUUACACUUGUGGUUUUGGAUGAUGUAUGUAUGAGUUUUGGAUACUCAUGGUUUUGGAAUACUCAUGGUUUUUGGAUACUAAUGGCUUUGGAUUCGGAUUUCGGAAUGUAGUUUUCUACCCCUCGUGGUAGUGUUUUCAAAACAAAGAUUUUCGUGUGGAAAACGGUUUUCAAAAUAGUUUUUUGUGGUUUUUGCAAAGUUAAAAUUUCAAAAAAAAAUGUCUUCGUGUGGGAGACACUUUUAACUACUAGGAUGAUUGUGGAAUGGAUGUGACUAAGGACAGCUAGCUGUAUGUUGAAAUGAGUUGAUCCUUGUACAUCCUUUUGUUUUAUGUGUGAAUGAAGAUCUAGUUGUUCAAUUGUACUAUGUGCUGCGCCGUGCAAAUAUAGGGGAGACUCUAUCUAUUUGUUUCAGGAAUUUUCUACAUUUGUGGUGGGUCUGUUGCACGUCUUUGGGGUCAAGGUUUCAAAAAAAAAGGGGGCAAUUUUCUGCUUACUUUGAUUUUUAAAGAUAUUCCGAUUUCAAAUUAGCUUUCAAAAAAGACUCCGGGCCGUGACAACAAUACAUUCAUUGGUGUGACGAUUUAGCUAGCCUGGGUUAGGAUCGAUGUUAGUCGAUGAAAGUGCUAGUGAGUAUAUUAAAGGCAUUGGUGGGUGUGGUGUAAACUUAGGGCAUGCUUGGUUCAUGAUUGGAAUAGGAAUGUGAAAUGAAAUUGGAUUGCUUUGAAAUAGAAAAUAGAAUGACAAAUCAUUCAAAAAUAUUUGGUUCAUUAUUGGAAUGAAUAUCGGAAUGAAAAUUUAGAAUUUUUGAAUCGGGAUUUUAAUUAAGAAAUAGAAAAGUAAUAAAAAGAGAGGAGGUGUUGAUGAAGGAAGAUUUUAAGUAGUUUACUUUAAAAUGGGCCAAUCCGAGAUUCAAAGCCGGAUUGGGCCAUAAAUAGAUUUGGUCAUUCCCAUUCCAGAGUGGAAUGGGAUUCGGAAUCCGAUUCCUAUAAAACAAACAACAAUCGGAAUUAAUAAAUCCCAUUCCGAUUCCAUAGUCUAAAAUAGGUGAACCAAACAUGCCCUUAUAUCAUUGGUAAGACAUAGUGUCGAACGAUUUUAUAUUAAGGAUGAUUAGGUGGCAAAUGGUGUCUAUUAAUUGUGUCAAGGAGAAUGGUUGUCAGUGGAGGUGUUAGUUAGGAUAGUAAAUUAAGCACAGGUGAGCAUAGUGUGAACUUUUGUUAAUAAGGUAUAGAAUCAACACGGACGGUGUACGUAGGUGGCAAAUGGUAUUUGUUGGCAGCACAUAUAUAUAUAUAUAUAUAUAUAUAUAUAGCUAAGUAUCAUCAUCGAUUCUGCAUAAUGCUACAAAUAAUAAACUAUAGGUGGGUGCAAAUGAUAAUUAUGCAGAGAGGUCGUGUUUCGUAAUUGAUGAAGAAAAGUUAAUCUGUUAACAUAUUUUAUGAAGGAUGAUGAAUAUAUAUGCUAAUAAUAUAUUGAUAUGAUUAUUAUAUAUAUAGCUGGCAUUGCUAUUAUUCAGUAUUGAGUAUGUAUCAAUAUGGACAUUAAUCCGUACUCAAUUAAUUUGUAUUUCUUCCACUUCAUGUGCGUACGUAGCACUUCUAGCUAGAUGAGACUUCUAUCUAUGCGUCUACUGUCCAUCCAAUUAUGAGAUAUCGUGGUAUUGUAUGGUCUUCAUACGUUUUAUUGGAUAAAAUAUCUAAGAAAUAUUUCAGAAAAAAAAAAAGCUACGUCGUAAGACAUCAUAUAUAUAUAUAUAUAUAUAUAUAUAUAUAUGAUUUUGAAGAGUGAAUGAGCAUCCAUCGACACAACCCACUUCGCUGCUGCCGCUGCGGGGAAUGAGUGAGUAAGCGUAAUAGAUGGGAACGGAUUUUAUGCUACCCCCUAGAAAAGGGAAGGGAGCUCACGACAUCCACACAAACCCGUAGGUGGGAAAGAAGAGGCGGGGUGAUCAUUUGGAAUGGAGUAAAAAAAUAAUAAUAAUAAUAAUAAUAAUUACUGACUUAUAGAUCGUUUUCAUCAAUAAGAAAAAAAAAAAGAAAAAAAAAGAAGGAAGCAGACAAUAGCAGGGACAAACAAUAAGAAGACACAGGAGAAGCGGAACAAUUUGGAAUGGCGCGAUCGACCGUAAUUGGGUCCUUCUGUUUAAUCGGAUUCGCCGGCCUGUGACUCUUCAUCAAUUUUCUAUUCAAUUUGUCUAACCAAGUGUAGAGAAUGGUACGUAUUUUUUUCUUUUCCCUUUGGCAAUUAAUUUCCUUCUUACAUUUUUAUCACUUCAAUAAAUUACUUUUGUUACUUCAAUAAUUACGUACUCCUUGUGAAGGUUUUUAGUUUCAGUUAGAAAUUCACAAGGUUAAACUACACAAACCCCUUGGUAGUUUAACUUAUGUCUUAAUCACCCUACAUAAAGAGAAAAUUAUGUCAAUUUCUCAAAUAGGCCCAUGAAAUGUGAGAAGAUUGUUUAAUUUAAUUACAAAAAAAUUUCAUGAAGGCAAGUCCGUGUUGGAAUAUUAAAUAAAAGUCUAAUGAACUACUAAUUUUAGUGAUCGUAGUGGAAAAAAAAAAAGAAGAAGAGAUCAAUUAUUAUUAUUUAGAUGUAGAUCCAUUGUUUUAGUUGCAACCUAGAUAUUCAGAAAAGGAAGUAACAUAAUACUCCAAAUCAUUAAUUCCAAUUGAAUCUUGCAACCAAAUUCAUUAAUCAUUCGAAAUUUUUAUUGACUUGGUUAAGGUAUUAUUAACAAGUACAAAAUGAAAUUAAUAUAAGCAUUUAAUACAAGGAGACAAGUGUAGCAAAGGCCAAAGUGUAGGGAUGGUCUUCACAAUUUAACCCAAAUUUAAAUAGCAAAAGAUAUAAUUCGUUGGAUGAUGACGAGGAAAUUAACAUUGUUGUAACUCACUUUGAAUUACAUAAUGGUAUAUAUUUAGACCUAAUUGCUCUAUGUUUUGAGGGGUAAAAACAAUGAUACUUUCUUUUUUUUUUCAUGCUGCUGCACAUACUAUUAGCGCCACUUUUGUUUUUCCUAUGGUGGAAUCAUAACGUUGGAUCUUUAUGCCGUGAUCUGUUGUGCAAGAUGUCCUAUGAAAUCUUCUUAUUCAAGGGUUUUAAUUUCUAAUACAAUGAUUUUGCUAAUGAUUGUUGUAAGAGACUACGUACCUUUUAGCCACAUUUGGAUCCAUGGUAUUCUUCAAAUGUGCAUGUGUUAACAUAUUUGUAGCCGGAUCAAAAUCUGAAUUCUUUAGGAAAUUAAUAUGCGAGUUUGAAAUGUACUUUACUUUUUCCUUUUUUAAGUUCACGUGCAAUUUAUGAAUAGUUUCAAUAUUUUUCAAGGGAAGAAAUAGCUAUAAGGAUUUUUAUUGAAUCUCUUACCUCUGCUCUAAUGAUCCAAAAUAAGAUCAUUCAAAGAAAUAUUGACUCCACUGAUCCUAAUGCAGAUUGCCGACACAUUCUGAAAAAAGAUGCAGUUCCAAAAUGUACAGGACUUACCUAUUUAGAAGGCAAAGAUUAAAUGUGUAUAACCUUUAACCUAGGAGUCCAACUACUAUCCUUUUAGGAGGACGGAGGUAGGGGUGGCAAUCCAGCUCGCUGUUCGCGAGCCAGCUCGUGUUCGGCUCGAAAUGAGCUCGANGAGAUCGAAUCGCUCGUUUAGUAAACGAGCAGAGCACGAGCUAAAAUUUUCAACUCGUUUAAUAAACGAGCCGAACAUGAGCUGGGGUCAGCUCGCUCGUGUUCGGCUCGAUAACAACUCGAAUACAUAUAUUUUAUAUUUAUAUAUAUAAAUUAAUAAUUAUAUAUGUAUAUAAUAUAAAUUUUUAUUACUCGAUUUUUAGCCCAACCUAAAUAUAAAGCCCAACUCAAUUAUAAAAUAAUUCAUUUAUAUGUAAAAUUUUGAUCAUUAGAUCAAAAUAUCACGGAUAAGAUCUUAUAAAUUUAUUUCCUAUAUAUAUUUUCUCUAAUCCUUUUAAUUUUUUAUUCAUAAGCUAACUCAUAUUUGGCUCAUGUUUAGCUCGUUAAUAAACGAGCCAAAAACGAGCCGAAAUUUUUGGCUCGUUUAUGAAACGAGCCGGCCCCAGUUCGCUCGUGUUCGGCUCGUUGACACCCCUAGAUGGAGGUCUUCGUCCUACUAAGCCAUUUUAGAUUAUAGGAAUUCCGAAUCGAUGAUCGGAACCGUUAAAAUUUAUCUAAAGUAUCGUAGCUAUGCCCGCAAGCUUUCGGGUGCCCGGACCAAUGUCUGAAUCCCCUAGUGAGUCACCUGUUCACUGCUUGCUGCUCAUUGUCCCAUCAAUAUUUGAAUUGCUAUAGUAACUUCGGGGAGUCCAAUACAAUGUGACCGGUGACUCAUUUUUCUAGGCUCAGCUAAGUCAAUAUCAAGCAUUUGGAAUCACAAUCUGGAUCCUCCUGCUCCUCUACUCGCCACUUCCGGUGCCUUAAACCCAUUUCGGGCAUCCGAAAAGUCAGGCAUCUGAAAAGUCUCUGAAACUCAGUUUCAGUUGAGUUUAAUCUCAGAGUUCAUUUUCGCAUUCAUUUCGCAACAAACGCAAAAGCUACUAUGGACGACAAUAACAAGCAACUAGCAGAGAGUGAAUUACAUUUGUUUAUGCAUCAUGACUAUUCUUAUAACAAAGUCCAAAUUGACCCCAUUACCAUUUUGUCGUCCCAAGGAUCAACUCAACUCAUUUCUGUGGAAAUAGCCAGGAUUGAUUACCCAGAUGCAAUGCCGUGGACAAAAAUAGGGCUAGCUACCCGGUUGCCAAUAUUUUGUGGAUAGAGCUAAAACUGGUAUCAAGUUGCCACUUUGUGGACGAAGUUGGGACUGCCUACCUAGUUGUUACCUCGUGGACAAAGUUGGGAUUGACCACCCAGUUUCUAUAUUGACGCCCCAUUCCCGAAGGGACCUCAAGGACAUGACCACCCAAGGUGUUUCCAACAUCACGCUUUGCAACUGAAGGGCACACACUUGUGAUUGAACUCUCUUUAGGCUCUAGCCAAACAUGUUACUACUAUUCUAGGUCCAUAUGUUAUUGCAAGUGCAUUCAAGUUCAUUUAGUGUCUGUGCCAUGAUAUUGGAGUGGCAACAAAGAAUCACACAACAUGUGUCCACUAGGCAUGUUUCUACUAAGGUCUAUCGUGACCAAAUAUACAUUAAUUACUAUAUGUGUCAACAACACAUAUACAUCAAAGUUCUUCUAGUAUGCGUUACAUGACAAUAAUGUCCAUAACACAUGAACCAUAUCUAGCCAUGCAACUACUUGCACGUACCGCUAGUGGAUGCACAUAUCAUGAACAUUUCAUAUGCGUGUGUAAACAUUAGCUAGCCUAUGAUGCUUGACUAUCAUAUGGAUCUCAUGAACAAUUAAUGAGUCAAGAGAAGGGGGUUAAAAAGAUUGAACCAUCUCCAGGUAUCAUUAUACCCACUUUGUAUUAAGCAUCCACCUCGGUUAGCUCACUCCUUGAUCACGAUGCGAUCCCAGCUUCCCAAUCCUCGCUCAAGCCAAAAGAUAGCAUAAACAAGUCAUAUACUAAGGUAGGAUGCACUUCCAAUCCAAAAAGAAUUCAUAAAAUCCUAUACUAAAGUUUAUGGAAUGUAAGGUUCCUCACAGGUUCCUUACAGGUUUCAAGACAUGAAUUUAGGUUCUACAAAAACAACUAAUUUCACAUAGUUUUUGUCACGCCCCGUGACCCGCCUAUUUGGUCGGAUUCGGGUCGUCAACAGACCGCCGAACGGACAGAGUUUCCCCUAUACGUCCUAGGCAUCGCAAACAGUACAAUACAAGAGGUUCCAAACAGGAACAGUAUUCAUACAACGAUUGCAUAAUGAAGAUAUCAAACAAUAUAAACAACUAAACUAUUACAAGCAUUCACAUCACAUGCUUUCUUUUUACAUAUUACAUUUCCUUUUUCUUUUCUUCCAAAUACAACCAAGAUUAUUACAAUAUUGUUUUACAUCUUUUCUACAACCCCUAGCUAAGCCGACUUGGGGUAAUGCUAUUUUUGGUCUCGGUGGUAGGGUGCUAUCUACGGAGCUACGCCCUUUCCUUGCAUCGCCGCGCCGCUCACGUGUGAAACCUGUACCCCCAAAAACAACACGGGGGUUAGAACUAUUAUCCAUAGUUCCCAGUGGGUACGGCCACCCAACAGAAAAGCUCGACCCACCAGGUCCGAAGGAAGCACUGCAACAUAUUAGUCCAACAAAUAUCCAAUAUAUAUAUAUAUGCAAGUACUAAAAUACAUGUUAUGCCUCUCAACAUGCAACAAUGAAAUCAUGCAACUAUGCAAAUCAACAUGCAAUAAGCUAAGUAGAUCGACUGAUUCUACUUUCAAUCCUGCUAUUCAUAGCUCAUCUAAUUGACAUCUAAGGUUUUCUCUAUCUUAGAUUCAUGUCAUUUACAAUUCUACUCAUAAGGUUCUAUUUACCUUUAUCAAGCUAUCCACUUAACUCGGUCUUAAAUCAAUCAUCCGCGGAAUACCGUGCAAAACCAGGCUCAAGGUGAAGGACAUCUCACUUGCACCUUAGCCUUAAGUCCACUCAACUGGGAUGCCAACUAGGAUGCCAAUCCACUCUGCUGGGAUUCAUCAAUAGCUUACAAGAAUGUCAUCCAAUCUCACUGGCUAACCAAAAGGUUAAACCCCGACUCACUUUGAAAAUCUCAUAGGUGAGAAGAAGCUGCACUCGCACACCGAGACCGUCUGUGGAACAACUACAUCUGCCCCGGGGCAACUACGUCUGCCUCCAUCGUGAAGUACUCCGGAGGCCACUACUUGGGUGGAGCGACCACGCCAAGUAAAAAACAGACUAAGUGAGUAUGAUCCAAUCCUCUCACUCGAGGAUACCCUGUCUACUAGGUUUAACAACGACGCGGGAAAUCUACUAAUCCUUACAAUAAUGUGGGAAAUCUACUAAUCCUUACAAUAAUGUCACAAGUAUCUCUACUACACUAGUUUCACAUGGUACAUAUCCACCACUCGGGAAAUCAUCUAUCCCUAUGUUCAUGUCAUAGUGUCUCUACUACACUAGUCCAAAUGCUACUCGAUCUACUUGACAAUCUACUAGUCCAUAUCGAGUAUCAUAGUUUUCACAUGUCCUUGUUUUUCAACGUCGAAUUCUCUAAUCAACCUAGAGUUAUCGACCCAAGUUCAACAUGCAUAUGUCAAUUAACAUAAUCCUCUAUAUGUCAAUGUGCAUUCCAUCUAGUAAUCCUACAAUAUGUCAUCAUGCACAUAUACCAACUAGCAUCUCAUGAUAUGUCAACAUGCACAUAUACAUCAUCUAGCAUAAUCCAAAAUAUGCCAACAUGCAUUACAUCUAGCAUUUCUACAAUAUGUCAACAUACAUAUGUUUGUCAUCCAAUGGUAGUCAAGCAUCUCGCGCAUUCAUAUAGCAUCAUUUUCAUGCAUUUAUCUAUCAUUCAUUUCAUGCAUUCAUCUAGCAUUUAUUUUCCAUGCAUUCAUCUAGCCAUUAAUUCACUAUAUGCAUCAAUAAUAAACAUCACUUCGCUUCGACAUGGAAGCGAACUAAACAUUUCGGUGAGCACAAUCCACCUCGCAACGCUUUCCGAUUGCUUGUCGACACUUGCAAUCGGCCUACCGUAGCAUACAAUAUCCGAUUCGGCUCGAUCUUGCAAACAAUCACCAACCGUGCGUCAAUCCGCGGAGUCGGGUUUUAAAGGGCUUCAUCUAGAUGCCACGAUGCUACAAAUCCGAUUUUGCUAUUUUUGGAUGUCGCCUCAGCCCUCCAGGCGGAAACGAAGCUUAACGGUCCUUUUUCCCAAUAUCUUCACAUAGCCUCGAUGGAUUGCCGAACCGUCUUCGCUAACACGUCAGAAUACCUAGCAAUUGGGUUUAUAUAGGUCCAAUUUAGAUCAAAUAUAUUUACAAAACCCACAUCUCUAACCCUAACAUGAAAACAACCUCAAAAUAAUUCGAAAUUAAAUGGAGCAUCAUACUAGAAAUACUAUAGAGACCAUUAGAACACUACACAUCAAGGAUUAAACCAAAUCCUAAACACUUACCGAAAUUGCGAAUGCCGAGUCGAAAGCACGCCGCUCUACCGGACGCACGAAGACUCGAACCGUUGCUUCCAACGCGUUGACUAGCUCGCUCUCCGCCAACGCCACGAAUUUGAGAGAGAGAUCUAGAGAGACGAGAGAGAUAUUUAGAGAGAGAAAGGGAGGGUUUCUCUCUCCCUCCAUAUGUGCGUGUGUAUGUGCUAUGGGUGUGUGUUCGGUUGAAGGAGAAGAAGAAGGCAAAUGCUUCUUUUAUAAUUAACACUCUCAAAACACUAUUCAUACUAGCAGUUUAGCAGCUCAGGAUCAGAUACCUUUCGCCGCCCCUUCUGAAUGUCCGUUCAUGCUCAAAUUUGACAGUCAGGCUCGGUUUUUGCUAAAUAAAUGGAAUAUAUCUUAACUUUUUAGUUUUAACCAUUUUGGUUACCGAAAGCUCUACCGACAAAAAGUCUCUAGCAGAUAGCAGUCGGAUUUUAUUUUUCACCUUCCGGGUGUCAGAAUGACAUGAAACUUUAAAUCUAACCUCAUAAAAAUAAUCUUGACAUAUUCCCAGAUUUUCAUAAUUUUCUGACACUGUGAAUUUUCUGCUAAAAAUACCAGUCCCGUCUCUUACAAAAAAUUCUAAAUCUCCUGUUUUUAUUCCGAUUUCAGCACGAGUCAUUCCAAACUUACAUUUUACUUCUUUAAGUCCAAUGAAAAUAGUAUAUUCCACUAUUUUUAUUUACACUUAAUUUUAUAUUACAAUCUGGUACAUUACAGUUUUAAUUAUCAAUAUCCGAAAU